rnacentral:lncRNA from 1 species
AAAACAAACAAAGUAACAUACAUGUAAGCUCCAAAAACCAAACUUGCAUAGUCAAGAAGAUAAGCUAAGAACAGAAUGAGCAAAAACUCAAACCUGUCCAAGAAGUAACUCAGCAAGAACACAUCCAGCUGACCAUAUAUCAAUAGAUGUAGUAUAUUCAGUUGCACCAAAUAUGAGUUCAGGUGCACGAUAAUAGCGAGAGCAUAUGUAUGAUAUGUUUGCCUCACCCUUAACCUGCAAUGGAAGAACAACACAGGCACAAAGAUUGUGCGUAGACAGACAAAGUGAGAUGCACAAUUGAAAUAUAACAAAUUGAACUUUUGCAAAACAAGGAAAUUCCAAUUCCCAAUAUCUGAUGACGAGAGCCAUCCUAUCUAUACUUAAAUCAUUACGUCAGAAAAACUAUGCAACUGUGUGUCCAAAGCAAACAACAGCUUAAACAUGGAUAUUAAUGUUGUUAAGAAAAAGCAGACAAGUUGCUAUUAAACUGUCAACAUAACACAAAUAGAAGGCAUCUCAAGAAUUCGCUACAACUCACAAAUACAAAGCAGAAUUUGAAAUAAAUCUCAGUAACAGGAAUUAAUGUGAUUAUGUAGUAGCAAUGGCAUAUAGAGGUAGCCGACUACAAAUUUGGCAGGCAAAUCUGACUGUCAUAGACAUGAUAGGAUAAUAUUAUAGUGGCACUGAUGUGAGAACUUAUCGCUAAGCAAUAAGGUAAGCCUUGCAAGGAUGAAAGCUCAUUAGUAUAGCAUAGCAUAUAUAAUAUCAUGCACACUUACAACCAACAUACCAGAAUUUUUGCGCUCCCAAAAUCACAGAGCUUGACUUGGUGAGUGAGAGGAUCAACCUAUAAGGAACAAGAGGGAAUAAAUAAGGACCUAGCUGCCAAAUGUAAUGAACAAUGGCAUUAUAAAACUCGUUAAAACAUACCAACAGAUUUUGUGGCUUCACAUCUCGAUGACAAACUCCCAGAGCCGUGUGGAUAUAAGCUAGCCCCCUAAAUAUCUACAUCCAAAUGAUCAAAAUUACAAUCUUAACCCAAAAGAACAUUCCUUCUAUCUGACACUUCGAACAAAUAAAGGGCUGUGAGGGCCCACCUGAUACAUAUAAAGCUUCACAUAAAUAAGAGGCAUCCUUUGAUUCGCAUUGCUGUAAUGCUUUAGGACACGAUACAAAUUUUCAGGCACAUAUUCCAUGACUAAGUUAAGGAAAAGCUCAUCCCUGCUAGUGGUAGAGAAGAAGCAGUGCUUCAAAGAUAUAACGUUGGAAUGAUCCAUUGAGCGCAUCAGUUGUAACUCGCGAUUCUUGUACCGUCUGUCCUGCAAGACCUUCUUGAUGGCAACAGUCUCCCCGGUUUCCAAGCACUUUGCCUGCAAAAGAGCAAGCAAGUAUAAAACCACAGUCCAAAAGAUAUAUCGUAUUCUCAGCAAUGGCAAAUAUUAAAUAUACAAGAGAUAUCAUCUCAUAUACCUGGAAAACGAUUCCAAAAGACCCAGUUCCCACAACACGCUCCGCCAUGUAACUAAUGGUCUGAAGGAAUGUGAAUACCACCCAAGUUAGAGACAAAUUUAUAUGAAAUUUCAACUUAUUAUCGAUCCACCGAGCAAAAUUACUUUCAAAAUUCCAAUACCCGUUUAGGUUCGCCAUUCUUUCCUCCGAUAGUAGUGGAGAUAAUGUGACCAGUGACCGGAUCAUUGCCCUCUAUUGUAGAUGCUUCAUGCUGUUUAUUUCAUUCACAAUUUCAAUAUCAGCAUGAAGAAAAAAACAAAAUAAGCACCAUAGUGAGUAAUACUGUAACAUACAAAGGAUUAGUCACUAGAUAAACACAGAUUUAUACUACCAGACACUAGAUCAGACGAAAACCCUAAAAUAGAUUCAAAAAAUCAGACCCUAAAUAACCUAAUUAAGGCGAUCGGAGAUCUAACAUUACCGAAAAUGGCAAAAUAACACAUGAAAACACUUGGGGAAACAAGAUUUCUACUUACCAAAACCAGAAACGAAAACUCGAAACUGGCCACAUGAACAGCAACCAGGGCAACAUACUAAACCAAAAAAGAAAACAAAAAGGAGAUCCUCGGAUCUACAAGCGGACCUAAGAAUCUCCCAACUAGGGAUCAACAAGUACAAAAAGAAGAUCGAUUCGAAGCGAUUCGAUCUACAAAAAGAAGAGACCAAAACCCUAAUCGCGUCGGAACCCUAAGAGAUCGCCGUAAAACUACCUUCUUCUCCGCCGCCUCCGGCGGCCGCGGAUCGACGAUCAUCGGCUCCGGCUCCGGCUCCGGCGCACGGUUGGGUCCCAUCGGAAGCGACGCCAUGGGGAACGACACCACCUACAACAACCUCCUCCCUCCCUCCCUCUCUCUCUCUCUCUCUCUCUCUCUCUAUUUUCUUCUCUCUCUCAUCCGCACCCUUUCACCCAUGGUGCGAACCGCGCAUGCGAAAUACCUAAAAUACCACUGAUUCAACCGUACAACACUUUCGUUAAUAAUGGUUUUAAUUUGGGUUUAGUCUAUUUUCUUCUCUUUUUUUUGGGGUGAAAAUGUAUGGAGUACCCCUCAACCAUUAGUUCAUUUGAACACGAGGCUUAAACUGUUUUUUUAAUUAUUUCAUCAAAUUUAAUAUUUUUAAUUACUUUAUAGUAAAUAAUAUUAAGCUAUCCGAUUUAAUAACUUCUUAAAAUUAAACAACUAUAAUAACUUAAAUUCGAAAAAAUAAAAGUCCAAUUGGUCUAUGGUUGAGGAGGUCUCUAUACACAUCGAAAUAAGGUGUAUGAAUAGUUUUUUUUUUUAUUUAUAAAAUCCUAAGCUUUGAAGUAGAGUAGUUAGGGAUAAUAAACUGAAAAGCAAUGGAGAUUACCAAAAUGGUCCUUAAACAGGUGCGAAUUUUAGACAAGGGAAGUGUAUAUAAAAUAGUGGGAGGUGAAGGGUGAUGGGCCCAGUCACAUGUUCUUAUUACCUGUAUCACUGACCACUAUCUUGGGCUUGGACUACAGAGGGGGCAUUGUUUGAACCGUGGCCAUUUUGCAUUGAGGUUCAAUUUAUUUUAUAAUUUUACACCUUGUUCUUUUUUGUCACCUUCUAGCUAUUUUUCGUUUAUUAAUUAAUAGUCUUAUCUUGUGAAUAGGAUUUUCUCGUUCUUCUUCUCUAUCCGCAGGCCAUGACCGCUUGGAGAUAUGCAAUGGCAAGGAGAACAGAACGUCUUUCUCGACUUCUUCUUUUCCUAUUGUAUUCAUCUUCAGCGAGAGGCAACUUUACCAUGCAAGGACCGAAGGUAAUCCAGUUUACUGUUUGCAGGCACGCUCGGAUUCAAAUCGAAAUGAGCUCAAAAUCAAUUGCUUAUUUAAUAAAUUAGUCGAACACGAGCUCAUUUCAGCUCAGUCGUAUUCAACUUAAUAUAGCUCAAAUAUAUAUAUAUAUAUAUAUAUAUAUAUAUAUAUAUAUAUAUAUAUUAUAAAUUUUUACCAUUUAGAUUUUACGCUAAGCCAUUUGAGAAUUUCAAUUAUUGUAUUGAGAUUAUAAUUUUUUAAAAUUUUUUUCAAAUUUUUUACCUAGUAAUAAGGUUGACAAUCUAAUUUAUUAAUAAACAUACCGAAGACAAGCAAAAUUUUUUAGCUCGAUAUUUUAAUAAGUCGAACACGAGCUGGUCCAGCUUGCUUAUGUUCGGUUCGUUGACUGCCCUAGCUCCUGAUAGGAGCAGUACUGCUCUUCUCCAACAUUCAUAAGCGUCGUGCAAUAUUUACUACCUGGGCUCCACAUGGGCCGAAUGAUUAGUUUCCAAAAAUGAAUGAUGGGUUGUUGCAGCCCAAGUUACUACAAAGCUUUACCCUGUACUGAUUAGGCCUAUGUGUCUCCUCUUAAGAAAAAUAUUGUAUGUACCUGGUCUAUAAAAAUCGGGUCACAUGGGCAAAGAGUUUCGUGUUAACUCGUAUUUAAUAUCGAGAACUGCCUAAACAUAUUUGGCCAUGAGUAGAACAAAAAAAAAUAUAUCAUAAUCAAACUAGCAAAUUUAGAACUAUGCUGGAAUACUGUUAAUAGCACAAAGUUAUUAGUUUUUUAGUCUUUGGAUUGAGAAAUAUAUGGUUAGGAUGAUGUGUGCCCCCUAGGAUUAAGUGGGUGGUUCGUUAAAUAGUAUGAUCUAACCGAUAAAAAUAAUCAAAGAGUUAAAUCUAACAGUGAAAACUCGAUAGCAUCAAAUUCUUGGUGCUAUCGAUAGUAUUCCAGCCAGACUCCAAACUCAAGUAAUUUUCUAUCACACUUUCUCACUACACGUAACGCCUGCUUCGUACGAAUACAUAAACAAAGUCGACGUGCUAUUAAAAUAUAGCAAAAAUUGCAUACUUUUGCUGAUUGUCAAGUACUUCAUAACAGAUAGCUGCAGCUAAAAGAACGAUCUAUCUAUUUAUAUUUAUAUAUUAUUUCUCAUAAAAUUUACUACGUGACGGUUCCUUCUUUACCUUUUCCUUCUUCUUUUUCCCAUGCUUUCCCUUCCCGCCUACCAUCUUCGUCUGAUGCUUUUGUUACGGUGGUAGGCCUCCAAUAAAUACAUUGUAUAUAAUUGUUAUGGUAUAUAGAGAUUUUUACAAAAAGUAAUUUUCACCUGAUGCUUCUGUUACGGCGGCGGGUCUCCAACAAAUACGUUAUAUAUACUUAUUAUGAUAUAUAGAGAUCUCCACAAAAAGUAAAAUAGAAAAGAGAAGAGAGAAAGAAAAGAAAUCAAAGAAUUUGAUACAUUAUCGUGGAAGCAAAACAAAAUAACUUUAUUGAAGAAAAGUUAACCACCACACGAGGAUGCAUACGGCCAUAAGAUGGUGACCACUAAUUAAUUAGCGCCCAGCUAAGGCUUCAACUUAAUUAAUGCCGGCUUUAUUAGCCAUAAUGAUUCUGGCCUUUUUAUUUAUAACUAAUUAUACGAAAUUCUAGUAUGAUUCGAUUUCAUCUUAAUUAUAAUUUAAAUAACAAAUCUAAUAAUAUAUAAAAUCAAAUAAUCUAAUAUUAAUCUAAUUAUUAAUUAGCAUUAUCUCUAACAGCUUCGUAUUCCCAACCGCCCACCAAUCAAUUAUCAUGUUUGUACGAUUCAUUAUCAUCUAAAUAAAUCAUCUUCACAAAAAAAAAAAAAUUUCUUCAUACUUUUUUUGUUCAUAAUUUUAUUUUUUCUUUUACGUAUAAGAAGGGUUCAUAUUUUGUAAUUUUUUUAAUUUUUUCUCUGAUUUUUCUUAAAUUUGUGGGGAUUGAAAUUAGAAUUUUAAAAAUCAUAACACGGGAUGACAAAGGAAAGCGGUGAUGGAUUUGGAGCCGGCCAGGAAGAAGAAGCAACGGGGUUAGAAGAAUCCGUAUGAAUCAACGGCCGUGACCAAGAAGUAGCUCAAUGCUGACAAGGCGGUGGAGGCGACGUAGAGAUCAGAAUUCGCUUUAAAAAAAAAAAAAACAAGUAAAACAAGAUUUUUUUAUACCUUUUUUUCUCAGGUUUUUUUUUCCUUUUUUUUAGGCACAAGAAAGGAUUAUAUUUUGUAAUUUUCUUAAUUUUUUAUUUUUUAAAUUGUGUGAGUAUUGAAAUUAGGGGUUCGAGAAUUGCCCCGCGGCACAGCAGGGGAAAACGAUAAUAAAUUUAGAGUUAGUGAGGGGAAGAAGCGGUGAGCCUGAAGGGAUCCGUACGGAAUCGAUGUGGCCAUGACCAGGAAGAACUCGAUGCCAACAAUAAAAGCGGAGGCGACGUAGAGAUCGCGAUUCACCUCCCCGAUGUCGGCAACGCGACGAAGGUGUGUAUAGAAUAAUAACUCUAUUGCUGCCUCUAUUUUUUAUUAUUAUAUGUAAUUUAUUUGUUAAAAUUAUAAAUUUGCUAUAUCUGUAUUUGUAUCUAUUUCAUCUUUUUUAUUUUUAUAAAUAUUGAUAUAUUAUUUUUAUUUAUCGAUGUCUUAUGAUAGGUCAAAAAAUUAUAAAUUUUUUUAUUUUGUCAAUUUUUUGUCUUCUAUAGUAUCAACCUGUCGCAACGUGCGAAUACGUAACUUCAUUAGCAUUAUGUAAUUUCUUCAUUUGGCUUCACAUCAACGAUGACUCUACUUAUUUAAUUUGAUUUAUUAAUUUUAGGUUGCAUUUUAUAGUACUUUCUUAACUAUGAGUCAUUUUUGUUUUCGGAAACUGUAAACAUCUCGUCUACAAUUUCGUGUUUAAAUUUUCUUAACUAUGAGACAUUUUUAUUUUACGCAACUGUUGCUGCUAUUACUAUUAUUAUUAUUUUUACUUGAAUGAUUGGAUUACGUAUUUAUGAGUACUAUCUAUCAUAGUUAUCAUGUUCUUAAAAUAUUAGCAAAAUUGUCAAACAUCAUCUUUCCACAAUUAUUGGGCCCUCUCCUAAUUUUUCCAGCACCGGUUGAGCGUUGCAUCACCUCACAAUUGGAUUAAUUCCACUCCAUCAAUGUGACCUUCAACUAAAGUAGUCAUAAGCAUAUAUAUAUACAAAUGUUCUGUGAAAUAUCGUUUAAUUAGUAAUUAACCUCAUUACUCUACAAACAAUUCUAUAAAUUUCAUAUAUCACAACAAUAAAACAGCUCAAUAUAAUUUCUAAGUGAUUUAAGCUUAAAAAAAAGGAAAAAGAACUUGCUAGGUGGAUUAAGAAGCGGUAAAUUGGUGUUAAGUAUACAUCCUAUAUAUGAAAUCUUUUUAAUUACGUGCUAAUUAAAAUGAUAGCUUUGCCACACCAACUUUCAUCAAUUCUCGGAAUAGACAAUGACUGUUUUUUUUUUUUUUUUUAAUUUGAAGAGGAGAUAAAGUACACAUCCAAUUCUCUGUGUUGACACUGUCGAAGUGAUGUGGGUUGAUUUGAUUAGAUACAGUGCUAUUGAUAUGUCGAAAAAUUUAUUUGCUAUUUUAAACUGUGGACACACAUUUAUUAAAAUCCUCUGUAUCAUAUUACGUACAUGCAUAAUCAAUAAUGUUUUAGACCGAUCGACAUUUAAAAAACAUCCUCUAAUAGUUAUAUAAGACCAACAUAUUAAUCCACAACUAAUACAUAGCACAAAUACAAUCUACACAUUAUGCGUAACUAGAAUGAGACACGAGCAACUUCGCAUGUUAGACAUAUAUAUAUUACUAGCACACACCAUCACUGGACUGCCCAAAAAUUAGGAAAUAUCAAACUUUAAUAUAUGUCAUGUUAAAAAGAGACGAAUAAAUUCAAAAUUGUUGGAAGCGUGAUUUGCUCUGAUACUAUUUAUUGGAAGCAUAUUUUGCUCUGAUACCGAUUAUAUAACCCAGGAUCUAAAAUAGAAUAAAAUAAUAUAGAAAAGAGAUAUUAUGGGAGGAAGAAGAUAAUUAAACUAAUAAGUAAUUAAUUAUAUUAUAGGCAAUACCUAUGCAGCCAUGUCUACUAUGGCUUCUUCAUCUAAUAAAUUUAUGUCUAACUAUAUAUAGCCAUCAAAUUAUAAUAGAUGAUAAAUCUAAUUUUACUUUGGAUAAAUACAAAUCCUACUCAAUGUAUAAUUUGGAUAUACUUUAUCUCUAACUAAAUUUUAGAUAAAGUUUAGAUUAUUAUUUCCAACAAAAAUCUUAAGCUGUGGCUCCGUUUACAUCGGGAAUUAGUAGGAACUAGUUAUACCGGGGGAUAGGUACAAGUAUGGAUUUUUGUAGGAAUAAGGGUAUUUUUUUGUUUGGAUAAAAUUGUGAGUAUAAGCUGGAACUAGAAAAAUUAUGUUUGGAUGGUUUUUGAAAAUAAAAGGAAUAGUUGGUAGUUAUAAAUAGAAAAUAAUAAUAUUAUCCCUAUAAUUGAAUUUAAAAUUUUAAAUUUAUAAAUUUUAAAAUUUAAAUUUAAGGCCAAAUUUAAAUUUGAAAUAUAAAAUAUCAAGUUUAAAAUUUAAAAAUUAUUAAUAUCAAAUUUAAAUUUUAAACUUUAAAAUUUACUAUUUAUAAUUUACAAUUUUAAUUUUAAAAUUACAAAAUUUUAAUUCUAAAUUUUAAAACAAAACUCUCUCUCUCUCUACCCAAGUGGGUGGGAACAAGCUUGUUCCACCACUCCCACCUUACCGGGUUAUACCUAUAACCCGGUAAGGUGGAAACAAUAGUUCCCACCAUACUCAAUUUUUGUUUGGGUAUAAAAGAGGGAAUAACCCCCUUAUCCUCCUUUAUAUCCAAUCCAAACGGGGUCUUAAGGAAGAGUUGGGGGGGGGGGAAAGAAAAAAAUAAAAAAGUUUUUAUUUUUUGGGAAAUAGGGGUGGUUUUGUGCCUCUCGUACUAUCGAGGUCUUUGGCCUAGCUUUUAAAAAGCACUUUUGGGCUGAAAAGUUAUUUUCAGCUCAAUAGAGCGUUUUGCAACAUACUUUUAAAAUCCGAUUCUACUUUUUAGAAUCAGAAAACUGAUUAAAAGCCCCACAAUCAGAAGCAAAAAAAAGCUGCUUCUUGAAAUCUGAUUCUGAUUUUGGAUUUAAACUUCAAAUUUUUAUUUUUAUUUUAAUUUCAACAUUUAAAUNUAAAAAAAUCUCUCUCUCUCUCUCUCUCUCUCUCUCUCACAAAUGGGUUGGAACAAGCUUGAAAAGCUUGUUCCAACCCCGGAUGGGAACAAGUGUUCCCACCAUAACGGGUUGUAUUGUACAGGUACAACCCGUUAUGGUGGGAACACUUGUUCCCACCAUCACUAUUUUUUGUUUGGGUAUAAAGGUUGGAUAUUCCUCUUAUCCCCUUCUUUAUAUCCGAGCGGAGUGGUAGGUAAAGAUAAUAUAUGUCCCAUUACAUUCAAAAUAUAUAUCCAACAACUAUUAUUCUUUACAACUAUUAGGUUCCAGUGAUGUGUUCACCUUCCCAAAAAGAAAAGAAAAGAGAAGUAGUUUUCCUGGUGUAAAAUGAAAUGACACACACACAUUUAAAAGCACACAAGAGACAUGCCACGAUCAACGUACAACUUUUUGUUGGUUUGGACAACAACAAUUAAUCACCGUUAAAUAGGUUAAACAGGGCUUUGAAGCAUAACUAGCCAAGAAAUAAUGUCAAGUACUAGAAUUAGAUUGAAGUGGUUGGUCUUAACAAGUGAUGCGUUGAGUCCACCAUCUGCGUGUAAUUUUAAUAAUUUAUUUGUCACCGACCGUUCCUAGAGCAAAUGGCAAAGGGCUUAGUGGUUGGUACCCGAGCCCCAAGUUCGAAUUCUAGUUGAUUCACAUUUUUAGCUAAGUUUAUUUCUAAAUGAAAUAAACGAAACGGGUAACGUGCUAUCUAUCUCUCUCAAAAAAAAAAAAAUAUUUGUCUUUUGGUGUAGUUUCACUAUCCAGAUUCUAAUCCCAUUUUAAUUACUUUUUAUAAAUAGAUUUAGGAUUUAUUCUUAGUGACGAUAUGUAGUCGCAAAAUAUAUUUAUUUAUUCCAAGCUUUCGAAAUAGAGCUAGCAAUCUACUGCAGGAUCCAUGUUUUGCGUAAAUACCUGCGGAAAUUGAAGAGAAUUUUGAAGUUACUAUUGCAUUUGUGUCCCUAAGAAACUUACAUUUUGCAUUUAUGCCACUGAAAAUUAUACCACUUGUAUGUUUUCCUGAACAAUGUUUGACAAGUGCUUUAGAAGAAGAAUUGUAUUAUAAAUUCUUCACCAAAUUUCCUUUGUAGGAACAUCAAAUCAGAGCUUUUAUUUUUUAGCUUUAAAAUUUUAUUUAUGAUCCCUACUGUAGCAGAAGUAUCCUUUUUUAAUCUUUUUCUAAUACAUGCAAAUACUUUAUUGAAGAUGAUAAAGCGCAGCAAAAGAGGCAGUUUAAGGCUUAGUUUGGUAUUGAGGUUUAUCUACCGCUAUUAGAUAAAAUAGAGUUGAGAAAAAAAUAUAUAGGAAUAUGCUUUUGCGUUCUCCGGUGGAAUCGCAGAAAAUAUAUCAUAACCGACUCAUCGCGAUAUGCGGGACGUAAUAUUACAUACGAAAACAAACAUAUUACUUUCUCACCGUACAUAACGCAAUCUCUCUGUAAUCCCAAACGAAGCCUAACUUCUCUUCUUCUUCUAUUUCUUAUAUUUUUUUAUUUUUUAUUUUUUUUGUUCAGGGAAACCAUGCAAAGAGGCAGCUCAUCCUUUGAUCACCAUCACAAAGAAUUUUGUUAUGCCCGUAUAAUUAUGUGCACGUAAAAUCAUGGCAUCAUUAAAAGAUUCACGCGCAUAAAAAUAAAUGCUGCACUGGUGUGUGUUUUACAACAUCAACGAAAAAAUUUUCAAUUCUCCGCACGAUUUGGGAGACAUAUGCAUAAAUUUUUUUUUCUUAAAAAAAUAUUAAUAUUUAUAUUAGAACUCAUAAUAAUGAGAAUGAUUUCGCCGCUGCUUAAUUAGUUGGCAUUGUACUUCUAAAGUGCAAAUUGACAGUGAUGAGGAUUAAUUGCACUACAGCCCAACUAACAAAGAGAAAAUGACACGAGGAUUACGGAAGUGAUGAUUCCAGUUUUCUCUGUCGCUUUGCACCUCAUAUUAAUUAUUGGUUGCAUUAUAUUGCUAAAAAUGCGCCUUGUUGUUAGUUGAUCCAUAUUUAUUCUUACAAAUUGUUGAUGUAUAGAUACAAAAAAAUGUAGAUUUUAUAAAGAGAUUUCGACGACGAAAUUUAAGAGAUUUUAGAUUCAUGUCCGGGGAUGCUUAAAAAAUCUGGGGCUUAAGACUCUAACAAUUGCUAAUAUUUUUUCUCUUGCGUGCAUCUCCUAGUCAUAGUUGUUACCCAAAAGAUUAAUUAAUUAAUUUGAUCGAAAAUAAUUCAGAAAUAAUAUUGACAAUUUCACUAAACAUGUAUAAUGGUAUUGACUUUGUCCGUCUAUGUACUAAUAGAGAGGAGAAAGUUUUAUCUGCACCAUUAAUAUAUUUUAUUUAUUGGAUUUAUAUCAAACCAACCAUCCCAAUGAUGACAUGUUAUCUUAAAGAAAUUAAGUAAAUAUUACACACUAUAUAGUCUCCCUCAUCUAAUAUAUAUAGCUGAGAUAUGGAACAAAUUAAGAACCCAUGAACUUCUUAAGUUUAAUUAUAACUAUUAAAGAACUAUUUCUGACAAACAGUUCUAAUUAUUUCAUGUUUAAAAACUUAAAAUUUUAGAGACAAACUAUUGUUUCAUAUUUAUUUUAACAUCACUAACUAUACGUACCUAGUGCACCUUGAAUAAUUAUAACAUUUCUUUUUUUUCAGUUUUUUUGCGACAACAAAUAUACUAUACCUCGUGGAUCGUACGAAGAAAUUAAUGAAAGCCUAAAGCUAACCAAACGAAGUUUUCUAGUAAGCGGCUCCUUUCGUUGGUAUUAUUAUGCCUUUCACUAUGCAUGUCAUAAACACGGUUCCUUUCUUAGGUAUUGUUUUGUCAUUGUGCAUGGCAUUGAUAAUAGAGGACCCUCUAUCUCUCUCUCUCUAUAUAUAUAUAUAUUAUGUACAAGAACAUGUCUCACUAUUCCUAUGCUCGUGUGCUUUAAUUUAGUACAUUUUGUGUAGCAGUGGUUUGUAUAGCCCAUGGACUUCUCCAAGAGUUUCCUCUUCUUUGCCGUGCUCUCUCUAAUGUCGUCCGCCGCAGACGAGCAGUUGUCGAUUGCGUACUACGCCACAAGCUGCCCGAGCCUUCAUGAGAUUGUGCGCUCGGUCAUGACCCAGGCCGUCGCCGUUGAGCCGAGGAUGGGCGCUUCCAUUCUUCGCCUCUUCUUCCACGAUUGCUUCGUACAUGUAGUUUCCUUCAUUAAUUUGCAUCAUUGAACGUAUAUAUACCAUUUCGAAUGCGCACAAAGGAUAUCUAGAUCCCUAUGUUCAAAUUUUGAUUAGUAAGUAAUACGUAGCACGCGCCAGCAGUUAACACUCAAUUUUUUCGAGAUGUAUCUCAGUUUUAAGUUAUUGUGAUUACAGUGUCCUACAUUUUUUGAGGCUCCAAGAUAAUGCAUGAAACAUUUCGUUAGAUGUUUCGCCACAGUACCAUUUCAUGUUGGUUUUUAUUAGUCACUAACUAACACAUAACUUUCAAAUAGUUACUAGCUUUUAAGGAAAGAAAAAAAAUCAAGAUAAAAUAAAAAACCAGCUUUUUAAAAUUAUAGGAAUGAUGCAUUUUCAAAUGAUUUGUUGGUUGCUUUUCUUUUUUUUUUUAAAAAAAGAAACCUAAAAAAGAAAUGAAAACUAAUCACAUUUAUACGGAUCAUUACUUUUAUUAUGAAUUUUGAGCUCUUAUCCAAUUCUAAACUUUUUUUAUUGAUGUAGCCAAAUUUAUAAGUAAUAUAUAAUUCAUUUUACAUAUUUCUUUUUUUUUUUUAUUCCGCUAACGCAAGUGCACAUCAAUUUUUCUCCUCCUGUGCAUUGAUAUUUCACAAGCAAAAAGUAAUAAAUUAAAAAAGUAGAAUGUGGAAACAGUAGUAAUAAAAGGCUUUACACUUUUUGAUUUUUAAACAUAAAUUUACCAUUAUUUCUAUCUCAAAUUUUGUUGAAUAUUGUUGUAAUUAAAUUUCACAUUCCAAUUUAGUUGACAUGAUAUUGUUAUUUCACUAAUGUGUUUAGUGAUGCAAAAUUAUGAUUAUUGUCACAUUAUCGAUUACAAUAUUGUAACAUUGACAACACAUUAACUAUAUGUUACUAUUCGAUCAUUUGAGAAUCAAAGUACCGUACAUCUCAAAGUUUGAUGACCAAGGUAUGAUUUAGCCUAAAUCGAAACACAACAUAUAUAAACAGUUGUUAGCGCAGAUUUUAAGUUACUAAACACACAUUAAUUGUGCUAAUGUUUGUUCUACGCACAGGGCUGCGAUGGCUCGGUAUUGCUGGACGACACGCCGACCUUUCGUGGCGAGAAGGGAGCGAAGGGGAAUGCAAACUCGCUUCGCGGUUUCAAAGUCAUCGACACCAUCAAAGCCAGUGUCGAAGCCACUUGCAAAGCCGUCGUUUCCUGCGCCGACAUUCUCGCCUUAGCCGCGCACGAUGGAGUCCAGUUGGUCAGUAUUCAUUUUGUUUAACUUAAAAAUCACAAGUUUUGAAAAUCUAUUAUCUAAACAUUAGACGGUUCUAAAACUCUGUUACGUAAAGAUACGUGUCCGUAAAAUUUUUGUUUACUAUUUAAAGUCUAUGCUGAGCUCCGAAUAGAAUUUUUGUUUCCAUAAGGAUUCAUUUAUUGACUCUAUCAAACUGCAGCUAGGAGGACCAUGUUGGCCUGUACUGUUAGGCCGCCGCGACUCGCGAAAGGCGAGCCUGAGUCGGGCCAACAAAGACCUUCCCAAGCCCAACUCCAACCUCAGCACUCUGGUUGACGCAUUCGCGGCGAAGGGCCUCAGCGCGAGCGCCAUGACCGUGCUCUCGGGUGCGCACACGAUCGGCCAAGCACGCUGCACCAACUUCCGCAACCACAUCUACAAUGACAGCAACAUCACCCCACUCUUUGGACUGUUUCUACAGCAGGCGUGCCCGCGGGCGGGCAGCGACGACUUCAACUCCCCUCUCGACUUUCAAACCCCUAACCAGUUCGACAAUGCGUAUUUCCAAAACCUCAUGGUCCAGACCGGCCUGCUCCACUCCGACCAGGAGCUCUUCAACGGCGGGCCGAUGGAUCAGCUGGUGGAAUUCUAUGCGAACAAUGCGGUGGCGUUCGCCGACCACUUCGCGGAGGCUAUGAUCGAGAUGGGGAAUAUCGGGCCGUUGACCGGCGAAAAAGGAGAGAUUAGACUCAACUGCAGGAGAGUGAACUGAGGUUAGUUUGCUGUAUUCUUCCGAGGUUGGAUAAAUGGACCUACGUAUGCGUCGAUUAUGGUUUGAUGUGAACAAAUUAAGUUUUAUUACGUUCGUUUUUCUUUAGGUAUAAUUCAAGUUGCCCACAAUUCGCAGGGAAUUGUUUUGCUGUUUUCUUUUAUUACACAAAAUGCAUGCUUUUUGUUGUCUUGAAAAGUGAACAAAAAUAAGGUGAAAUGUUUACAUCAUGGACAACCACGCAUGUCUCAAAGAAAAAAGUGUUUAUCAUGGUUUUUUUUUUUUUCUUUUUUUCUUUUGGAGAAUUUUAUCAUGUAAACGCUCAUGAGUCGCAUCACCAUAUGAAUGUUUUCUUUUUCUUUGUUAUCUUUCUUAUGAUCUCUCUAGGUUAGAGAGUUUUUUUUUUUUUUAACUUUUGUAUAGAGUGAAAUUCAAACAUGUACAGAAUUCAACGUUAUUUGAAAAGCGUGCAAAAUAAGUGUAUUAAGUACCGAUAGUAAAAAUUCUCUAUCGAAACGCUUGGUACGUAUAAACUAUGUAUGCACCCGUUCAUUUAUCUUCCAUAUAAUCUUAGAUUCAUACUAUAUUAGCUAUGAACCAAUUAAAUCGUUAGCAAUAUCCAACAUCUUUAGAUUUUUUGUCUGAAUUAAAACAUUAAUUAUUGAGUCAUUGAUAGAGCAAUAUUCGUUAACUAACACACCAGAUAUGUGGGUGAGAGUUUAAGUUGGUGGUUCGAACAUACAAAUCGGCGCAAACAUCUCUUUCAUUCCCGUGCUAUGCAUUGAAAGAUGCAUUGCACCAACCAUACGGCCAAAUCCACAAAGUAGAGGAGAUCAUCCUCAAUUAUCACGCGUGUAGACCCAUGACUCAACCCCAUAUGGUUGUAAUUUACGAAUCAACUUCAAAUUAGCAAUUCAUUAUUGGCACAUGAUAGCUCAUUCGAUAGGCCAUACGAGUGACAUGAGACUCAUCCUAAAUGAACCGCUCAGUUUGGCCCUUCGAAGGUAGUUUGAUUAGUGCGUUUUUCAUCUAACUCAAAUUGUAUUUUUGUUUUAGCACGACCAUUUUUUGGUUUAGUGUGACCAAGCCUAAAUUGAAACCAUGUUAAGGUACGUAGCAUUAAUUUGUCUGAGAUCUGGUCCAGCGAAAUCUUACACAGAUCCAAUCAUGUUAAGUGUAGACCGUCGAUUACAACGAUUAGCGCGUAAGCGAAACAAAGAUUAAUUGUACGAGAAGCUUCUCCAUAAAGAGUCAGUAUAAUUAAUCAUUCAUCAUUGUUUUAAUGUUCGCGUAUUAAACGAGAUGGACAAUUAAUCAACUGUAUUUCACUGCUCAGCCAUCCAUACAGCGAAUUGGUAGUAUAAAUUACCAGCAACAAUAUGGUACUAAGAUCGUACAGAAAUAAUUUAUAAUUAACAGUUCACUUUUAAAGUAGCUUAAUUCAUCUUUCCAAUGAAUGAAAACACGCUAUCUUUUUCUCAAAGAAAAAAAAAAAAACUUUUAAAGCAUUUAACUUGCCUUAGCACAAACUAAAUGAUUGUCACGGGUAGAGCAAGUUGACCAAUAAUUAACUCAGUGGCAAACUCGGUUAUCAGUAUAAAUCCAACAAAACGCUUUCAAUACACCUCAUCUGUUUCUAUCAAAAACAACUCAAUUAGCACAAUAAAAUCGAGCAAAACAGGAGCAUGUCUAAAUCAAGGUCAUUUGACCUCUCUCUCUAGGGUGAGAGAGGAUAUAUAUAUAUAUAUAUAUAUAUAUAUAUAUAUAUAUCCUUAUCAUUUUAAAUUUAAUAAGAGAUAAGUAAAUAUAAAUUUGGGAAAUGGGUACAAACAUGUUACUAUCUAAGAGAGCCGAAAAAAAAGAAAGAAAAGGAUAGAAGCAAUAAGCUUUUUGUAGAUCAAAUUGCAAAUGCGCAUCUUAGUUGUCUCGGUCAAAGCAAAUUGUCAAUUAAAGAAUAAAAUUUAAUUCGCAGGUGAAAAAUAGGACGUACAGUAUGGGCGAAACUAAUUUGAAAAUUCUAAACUAAUUAAGCCAAAUGAGAACUGAAUGAAUUAAAUUUUGUCUAAACUCGAGCCAAACCCAAAAACUUUAAUUGACAAGUUUGAAAAGUAGGCCAGCAUGAAAUAAAUUGAGCCAUAAGAAAGGCUGAAUCAAGUUGUUCUAUCCUAUAUUAGAGGACUCAGAUCCAAAUCAAAAAUCAAAUUUAAAAAAUAUUCCUUCAUAUCAUAUAUAUGUAUUGACCAAAAUUUUAGUUUUUAGUUAAUACGCAAGUAAUAUUUUUAACAAAAAUUAUCAUUAAAAUUUAUAGAUCACAAUUAAUUAGAACACAACCCUUACUGUAAAUUGCAAUGGCCCUGUUUGUGCAUGUUCUCUGGAUCUAUAACACUGGUCACAUGGAACCUAUACUUACAUGGGUAGCAGGGCUACCUAAUUUUGUCAGAAGAAAUUUUUUUUAAGAAAACUGUGAACAUCCAAAGGUAUUCAAUUAAUUUACCUUAAAAAUAAACUAAGUAACAUUUUUAUCUUUUGAAUUAAAUAGUUCGUAUUAGAGUGAAUAUAUAUUUUUCUUGAGAAAAUAUAGCAAAUUAUCCACUUCAUUCAUAAAAAAAAGAAGAUAAGCUUAGCAAUAGGGUUGAGGUAGCAGGGUCUUGAACCCAUUAAACAAAAUCUAAAAUAUUAAAGUAAGAUAAUAUUGGAGGAGAACUAAUAAGAAGUACAAAAUAUUAACAUCAAUCAACCUAUUCUAUCUACUUAAAACUUAAAUAAGUUUGGAUUACUACUUCUAACAUUAUCGACAUCACCAUCCUAAUUAAUGAAUACCAUAUAACGCCGAAACCUCUCUAUGUGAGAUUACUCACAAUUUUCAAACUUAACGGCCACAACUCUUAUCCUGAUGCAUAAUCGAUUUCGUCAAAUUAUAAUAUCCAAAAUGAAUCAAAGAGGCCCAACAUUUUUCAAAAGAAUUAAUUGGACCUCAAGUGAAAAGUCAAAUUAAGCCUAAACAAGUUGAGUUUGAUUACAAAAAAUAUUUAAAGAGAAAUGAAUUGCCCAUUUGUAUCCCCACAACUGUUUCCAACCCAGUUGAUACAAAAGGACAGUAUAAUGCAAGCGAAGGUUCCCUUCGCGUCCCAUACUCUGUUACUCGAUGUGGGGGUCGUCAAAAGCGUGUGUCCGUAUACCCACAACUUGUUGUGUAUUUAAUUCCUAUAAAACGAAGCAUCUCUCUCCUUUUUUUUAUUAUUAUAUAGUUUUUAAUAAAAAGUUCAAAAAAGCCCCCCUUACUAAGAUGAAUUGGCAACUCCAUGAUAUAAUUAUUGUAUUUUAUAUUUUAUAAGGAAAUACGUUUACUAUUGAUCGAGUCGUAAAAAAAACUAUGUUUCAUAAGGAGUAAAUAAGAUAUAUGGAUAUUUCUGUAUAUUAUUAUGUCAACAUAUAAUGCUACUUAGGACCUGUGUAAAAAAAAAUAUGUAUAUUUUUAUAAAAAAUAAUUCAUACCUUUAUAUUCUAAAUUUAUUAAUUUUGGUUUAUUUCAAGCAUGAUAAAUAUUAUUAUACGGUAAAUAUUUUUGUGUAAGAAUACAGGAUUAAUUAAAGCCGCUACAACAAAUCUUGCACUUAAGAAUAUUUUAAACAGUAAUUAGCGACACUUUAAAACGUCGUAAGAAUAACCAUGAUAUUUGUAAAAGCGCCGAGUAAAGAGUCAUUAAAGUAAAUAUAUCAGGAUAAGUAUACCGACGCUUUAAUAUAACAUCGAAAGAUUUUUAUCAGUAUUUGAUAAAAAUAUAUUUAUUGGCGAUACUUCAUCAUGGUGUCGGCACAUUGCAAAUAUUGAAGACAUUAGAAUAUAGUAUCGUUUAAAAUAUAUUUUAUUGCAGUGAGCAUAACACAUGUGAAAGUUCAGAAACUAAAGUAUUGAGAUAAAAAAAAAGAAAAAAAAAGAAAAAAAAAAAACAAGCAUCCAGCAUUGUAUACUUUAUUAUCAUGCGAUUUACUUAACCAUUUACUACUUUUAUUUAAUGGGUACGCAUAGAAAAAAAAUAUAAAAAUAAAGAAUAAUUGCCUAUAUACCCCUCAUACGUUUGAAAAUAUCUGAUUUAUCCCUACUUUUUUCUUUCUUUCUAAAAUACCCCUCAUAUAUUCCACCGUUAUUGUAAAAUACCCUGGCAGUUAUCUCCUGUUAAGUUAAUUUGGGUUAAACGCGAGUUAAAUAUGUACCACAGUUAAAAAAAAAUUAAAAUGUCAAUUUUGCCUUUAACUUAAAGAGCAAAUAAGAAUGUUGGUGACGAUAAAGGGGUAUAUUGGAAAAGAUCAAAAGUCAAAAUACUUUUUGUGUCCCUGACUUUAAGGACAAAUAAGAAAGUCAGUGAUGGUGGAAGUGUAUAUUUGAAAGGACAAAAUAGUAAUUUUAUAGAGAUAACAGAGUUCAUUUACAGCUUUUAACUUUAGGAAUAUAUUAGAAAUAGGUUGGAACGUAGAAAGAAUAUUUUCAAUAUUAGCCAUCUAAGAGAGAUAAAUCGAAAAGUCGGAAACUUUUCAGAAAAAUAUAAGCAAUUGCCGAAAAAAAAAAAAAAAAAAAAGCAUCCAGCAUUUUAUACUUUAUUAUCAUGCGAUUUACUUAACCAUUUAUUACUUUUAUUUAAUGGAUACGUACGCAUAGAAAAAAAUAUAUAAAAAUAAAGAGAUGAGCUUGAAAUGUUUGCAAGAUAACUUGUGAAGGCAAAUACAUAAUACCAUAGGGGGCUAUAUGAAAAGUAUGUCAAAAUUUGACGCACCAUUUCCGGUCGCCGUCAAAGGCUCAACGCAGCAGCUGCAGUUGGGGCGCGCAAAUUAGUCAAAAAAAGAAUGCGCUAGUUCGGACGAUCGAGCUUCCGAUUUUAGCAUGUGGCCAUGCAUGCAACCACGCCACUAUAAAUAGCAUCCCCCCUCCACACGCUCUCUUCAUUCACCCAAAUAUAUCCAAGCUCAAUUAACUAAACUCUCUUUUCAAUCACCAACCACUAUUAAUUUCCGUGUGUUCUAAAGCUAUGGCUUCUUCCUCCCAUCGAUUCCUAAUCCUUUGUGUUCUCUCGCUGCUCGCUCUCGCGGCCCGUGCGCAGCUUUCGCCGAAUUUCUACGCGAAGACGUGCCCCAAUCUGCAAACCGUCGUGCGGUCGGCGAUGUCGCAGGCCGUCGCCAAGGAGGCGCGCAUGGGCGCGUCCAUCCUUCGCCUCUUCUUCCACGACUGCUUUGUUAAUGUAAGCUUCGUUGUUGGUUUUUUUUUUUUUUUUUUUUUUUUUUUUUUUUUAUCUCUAAUCAUCCAUUCACAUAGUAUGUGUAUAUAUAUAUACUUGGUAGUAGCUGAUUAUACAAGAGAUUUUUGUUUAUCAGGGUUGCGACGGCUCGAUUCUGUUGGAUGACACUGCAACAUUCACCGGAGAGAAGAACGCGGGGCCGAACGCAAACUCUGCUCGCGGGUUCGAUGUGAUCGACACCAUCAAGACCCAGGUCGAAGCGGCUUGCAAGGCCACUGUCUCGUGCGCCGACAUCCUCGCACUCGCAGCCCGUGAUGGUGUGAACUUGGUUAGUAUUAAACGCUCCCUGAAUCUUUUUUUAUUAUUUCUAGUUUAAUUUGAUAUGAACGUAAAAAUUUAAGUUAUUAGAGAAUGGUGUUUUAAUUUUUUUUAUUUAUUUAUAAUCUUGGCAGCUUGGGGGGCCAAGUUGGACAGUACAGCUGGGCCGCCGCGAUGCGCAGACUGCGAGCCAGAGCGCGGCGAACACCAACCUGCCAGGCCCCGGGUCGAGCCUCGCGACGCUCAUCUCGAUGUUCUCCGCCAAGGGACUGACGGCCCGCGACAUGACGGCGCUCUCCGGCGCCCACACCAUCGGGCAGGCGCGGUGCACCACCUUCCGCGGCCACAUCUACAACGACGCCAACGUCAACGCCUCCUUCGCCACGCUCCGCAAGCAGACGUGCCCGCAGUCGGGCGGCGACGGCAACCUCGCCCCGCUCGACAUCCAGACCCCGACAAAGUUCGACAACGCAUACUACCAGAACCUGGUGUCGCAGCGCGGCCUCCUCCACUCCGACCAGGAACUGUUCAACGGCGGGUCGCAGGACUCGCUGGUGCGCACAUACAGCACGAGCGCCUCGACCUUCACCGCCGACUUCGUCUCGGCGAUGAUCAAGAUGGGGAACAUCAGCCCGUUGACCGGAACCAGCGGCGAGGUCAGAUUGAAUUGCCGGAAAGUGAACUAAGAUGCUGAAACAUACGUACGUACGUACGUACAUACUACGUACGUGAUUGAUCAGUAAAAGGCUCAAAGUGACGCGAUUGGAUUGGGUGAAAUUUAUUUGUUUGGUUUUGGAUUCGUACUACACUGAGGUUGGCUUGGGUCCGUGUGAAUGUGUCGAUCAUUUCAUUUUUUUUGAAUAAUAAUAUAACUAGGCACCGACAACGGUCCGAAGGGACCGUGGUGAAUUUGUAAUUGAUUUUGUCAUGUUGUUCAUUAUUUAUAUACAUUUCAGAUGUGAAGCAGAUAAAUUAUUAGUGAAAAUACUAUGAUUUGAUUAAUUUUCGUGCCAAGAGUAACGUGUUAAUUUACAAAGAUGCUUGUAACAUGAUGAACCCAUCAAUCCAUGAUGGAAUACCACCUCUCAGUCACUUGCGAGUGCCCAUCCCACGUGGUUGCACAUGGAAGUGUUUUACCCAAUUAUUAAAGUUCAAAGAUAACCCACUAAAUUGGUACAUUACACUAGUAAUUAAAUAUUUCAAUUAAAAUUACAAAUUUAAGAAGGCAAAUCUGUGUACCCACUAAUUAAAUUGGUACAUUACCCAAUUCUUUUUUUAUUUUUUUUAAAUAAAGAGUAUUUGUUGAGAUGGGGGUGUUUAGGUCCUUUAGGAUGUGCCCUCACUUGUGCAUUCCAACGCAGGAAAUGUAAUAGAGAUAAAGUUGGCAGGGGAUAAGCUUCCUUGUUGCAGUAUAUGCUUGUCUCUCCUUUUUCUUACUUACUAAAUGACAACAUGUAUCUGAUGAGUUGAAACACUUUUUCUUUUUUAUUGAAAAGUUUCAGGGAGUAAAUUUAGAAAAAGAUUAAAAAAUCAAGAGAGAGGAGGCAUUAAACUUUACUAUCAAUAUAUGAUCUCUCUAAUGUAAAACUUAAAUCCAAUCACAUCAUAAAAGAGUAUACUUUUCCGAAUAAAAGCGUACAAAAUUUACCUAAACUAUAGAUUAUUUUGAGUUCUUUCAAAAUUUAAAUCUAUCGUUUAUCUUUAUAAAUUUAAUUAGUAUACUUUAUGCAAUUCUUAUACUAUAAAUUUAUUAAGAUAAAUAGUUAGCUUAUAUAUGUUCUAAAGUUAAAGUAUCAUUGACUGUUUGAGAUCAAACGAAUUAAAAAGUUAGAAGAAUUAAUAUUCAAUUUAAAAUGCAUGAUGUAUAAUUCAGAUAAAUUCUGAACAAUUAAUUUUACUAGCCAAUAUCUUGUUCGAUCCGAAUCACAUGAGGCGGAAAAUAAACCAUUUCGGACCCACUUUUGAAACCAGCAAUGAAAGGGAUAGACCACAUAAUCAUAACGCCGUAGACAUGUUUGCGAUAAUGAUCGAUAUAUUUUGGGCGAAGGCAAAGUCAUUUUCAGUGAUAGUUGUUAACCAUUUGUUGUUUUCUCAAUGCGUGCCAAGCUGUAUAAUUGUUUAGAUUUGGUUGACAUUUUACACUAGUCAGAGCGACAAGAACCACAAAAUUUUACAUUUUCAUAUGUUGUUGGGGAAUGCUGUUAUACAUGAAGUGGACACUAUUAAUUAGCUCAUGCAGAUAAAAAUCUAACAAAUCUGACAAAUCUGACAAAUCUAACAAAUCUGACAUAAUAUAUAUAUGUUGUUAGAUUUGUUAGAUUUGUUAGACAAAAUUAUCUGAUAAUAUCAGUCAUUAGAUUUGUUAGACAUAAUAUAUAUAUUAUCAGAAGUACCUAAAAACUAAAAUUAUUUAGUUUUUAACAUUAUUUGUUUAAUGGCCAAAAAGUCUCAAAUUUUAAUGACCGAUAUUACGUGUUUGUAAGUUUAAUGAUGUUGAAUGAUCUAUCUUAGGAAAAAAAUUGGUAGAAAUUUUUUUACAUUAUUAAGAAUACAAUCAGUAUUUCUGAUCUAAAAUUUAAAUCUUCUAUUAUUUUUUUAAAAUUUUAUUUUUAACUAUUUAUUUUGAAAUUAUUUAUUCACUAGGCCUCUAUAUUUUCAAAAGUAUUCUAGCUCGAUCCCAUACAUACUUGACAGUAUGUUAAUAGGUUAUAAACUAACGAUAAACCAAAAGCUAUUUUCAUAGAUAUGCUUAGAAUGAUAGUUUAAGGGUCCAAAUUUUAGGUAUUGACUUAUUGUAACAAAGUUAAUGGUAUUGACUUAUUGUAACAAAAUUUAAGUUUAGGAGUACAAAAAUGAAAUUGAAGUUAGCAUUGAAUCUUCUUUGACUAAUUAACACAGCUCGACAGACCCAAAGUCAUUUUCAUAGAAAAUGCUUAGGAUGAAAGUUUGAGAGUACAAAAUUAAAAAUAUCGACUUAUUAUAACAAAAUUAGAGUGAAAAAUGGAAUUGAGAAGUUAAAAUUGAUAAAGUUUUAUAGUCGAGAAAUUAAUAUAGAUUGGAUGACAGCUGUUACAUGCCUAUAUCCUUUUGGGAAUCUUUUUGAGAAGCUAACCAAGAAGGUACCCAAAGUCCACACAAAACAAAAAAAUUUAAAAUUAACUUUAAUAUUAGGAAUAAUUUUAAUUGUAUUUAUACAAAAUUUAAAAUUAUAAAAUUUUCGACACAAAGUUAAAUUAUCAAAUAAAGCUUAGAAUAUGCAAAUUUAUCUCUACAGGUUAUCUAUUACUUGUUAGCUGUUAAAGUUCACUGUUAAAACUGUUAUACCCUUAUAAAAAUAUUAUUUUUUUUUAAUAAACUGUUGUAAAAUUCAUGACUUAUGUUUCAAAUAGAAUGAAAGAAAUGCUAGAAUUAAUAAAAAUACUAGAGCUCAUAAAUGAUGUUAACUAUAAUAAAAAGUGUUUAUUUAUAGGCAGAAUAUUGCCAAAAUGGUUAUAUAUUGUGUACUUAGAAGAAAAUUUAGUUAUAACCGAUUGAUAAACUAGAGAUAUAUAUUUCAAUCUAUACAAUUUUGAAGAGAUAUAUUUGUUAAUUACUAAAAGUUUGUAGAGAUAAAUAUGCAAUUUCAUUAGUUUAGAGAUAUAAAUACAACUAGUAUUUAGUAGGAUAUUACCUACUAAGUUAAUCUAAUUAAAAAAUAUCCAAAGAUACAUUUAACAGGCAUGUAUAUUGAGUUAUCCAAUUUCGGAUGGCCACAAUACCAUGAUUAUUAGAACUUGAUUGGCACUUUUCUUAAUUCUAGGUGAAAAAGUAUUAUUAUUAUUAUUAUUAUUAUUUUGGUCCAAAUUGGAGAGUUGAGUAGGCUAUGCAACUUUGGAGAGCUUUUGAAUGGGGGCCACGAUGCAUUAUGUGGGCCCCAUCCAAUCAAAGAGAGCGACACGGUUCAUUUUAAUUGACUAUGUAUGUUGUGUUAAUUAGUUACCAAUUAUAUAUGCAUAGUAACUUCUAUUUGCAAUAGUUUGUACUUAAAGUCUUGUUUUGAUGGGGAUGAUAAGCCAUUAAAAAUCCGCUAACAAAAAUUGCAUCGACCAUGCUUGCAGAGAGUGGCUUCUUCUGUACUAGUCUGUAUGUCAAUCAUUCAAUAACCACUACAACAAAAACGAUGUAUAGCGACACUUUUAAGUAUUGGUACAUAUUAAAAAAAGUAUUGCUGGCUAAAUUACCGUCACUUUUUAAAAGUGUUGUUAUAUAUGGUGUCGCUGUAGGUAGUGCCGCAUUAAUAUUUGGCAUCCACUCCUCCAGCGACCUAGGAUUGAGAGAUAUAUGGCGAUCGUAGCUUUCUACAAUUCCUGCGAGAUUCUCGCAGUCGAACUCCAGCCGCCAGAACCCUAACUUGUCGGCUGUGGUGGCGGUGGAGGAGGAGAAGGGAAGAUGGUGAUCAAUUUUUUUUUUCUUUUUUUUAUAUAUAAUUGGGCUGAGUGGAUUGGGUGUAGUUGGCUGAGUAGAGAAACUUUUUGUUUUUAAUUAGAUUGGACUUUAUAUUUAGGUCUUACUAGAUUUUUUUAAAAAAUUUGGCAGGAUACUUAUAUAAAAAUAUCUCAAAAAUGUGUUUCUAUAACUUAAUUCUGUUAUAGUAAAUAACUAUAGAGAGCGUGCCACAUAUAUGAAAAAAAAGAAAAACAGCCAAAGUGAUAAAGACAAAAUAAUAAAAAAAAAAGCUUACCGCUUUGACUGCAAUUUGGUGGGCAUCUUGACUAGGGAAAAAUAAUGUCAUUUUUCGAAAUAUUUGUUCAAAAGUCUCUUGAAUUUGUGGGACGAGACAUGUCAUUACCGCAGCGCUCCUUUCCUCCUUCUGUCUCUAUCUCUUUUUCUAUUUUUUUUUCCUAUUUUUGUUCUAACGAGGCUCUUACUACUCUACAAAUUACAGCUAAAUUUAUUUAACUUAAUAAAUAAAGUGAAUAGUUUACUAUUUUUUUUAAAAAAAAGCAUUGACCAAAGAAAAAAGUAAUCAGUGGAUAAGGUUGACAACUGAUUAAAAAAAGUCCACAAAUUCCCAACAAGCUUGUAAAAGCAUGAGAACGAAAAGGCCGUUGCAUAAAGUUGCUUUCGCUCUCGAUCCCCACCAUUCAAUAUCGGCUUCUGCAUGCGUGAUGCAAUUUUCUACGCGUACGUACGUACGUAUCCCAGUUGUAUAUAGUGUAUAUACUCCCCGGGUGAACUCUCUCUCAGUUCACCUUUGUAUGUAUUUUCUUGGUUUUUGAUGUCUUGAAAUUAAAUAAUUUAAGUCAAAUAAAUUAGAAAUUAUAUCAUGGUGAUCAUAUAUCUAUAGAUGGUUAUACUAAAUUUAAUGGUUGAAACCUAGAUAUAUAGUUAAUUGCCAGUAACUACUAAAUCAUUAGAUUUAAUAUAACUUUUAAUUUAAUUAAUUGACAUUUAGAGGAAAUAAAUUUAAAGGAACCGUUUUAAAAAUCGCCUAUGGUCGAGGGGGGUUUAUGUACAUUUUUACCUUUUGUUGUCUCUUUCGUCCUCCUUAUUUGAAGCACGCUGUGUACGUAGCAGCAAUGUUUGAAAAGUCAACACUGGACUAUAUAUCCUUUGCAUGGAUGAUGCAUGCAAAGGACAGUAGAUAUGUAAAUACCACUAUAUAUUGAUUCUCAUAUCCCACAUUUUGCAUUCAAUCUAACAAAAAAGAUCAGUUUAGCUAUGGCAAGAUUCUCUACUAAGCUAGUUGUAUUUUUUCCUCUUCUCUCUCUCCUUGCUUUCUCGGCCCACGGGCAGCUGUCGUCGAACUUCUACGCAACCAGCUGCCCGAACCUACAUAGNCGCGACCCACGGAUGGGCGCGUCAAUCCUUCGGCUCUUUUUCCAUGAUUGCUUUGUAAAUGUGAGAUACCAAUCUCUUGUACAACUCUUUUUUAUUAUUGUUUUAUGCAUGCGCACAAUCAUCUGAACUUUGUCCGAAUUCAACCAGGGCUGCGAUGGCUCCAUCCUUCUCGAUGACACCGCGGCCUUCACCGGGGAGCAAAAUGCCUUCCCGAACAAGAACUCGAUUCGGGGACUCGAAGUCAUCGACUCGAUUAAAGCCCAGGUGGAAGCAUCUUGUAGAGCUACUGUCUCGUGCGCUGAUAUCCUCGCCCUUGCUGCUCGAGAUGGCGUCGUCAUGGUAUCUAUCGCGCUCGUUGUACAUACACUCUUUAGAUGGACCUCGUCACAAAUUGAACUAGACCGCAAAGGCUCAAUCAGAGUUGUACAUCUCGCUCUAAAAUUUAACUAAGUUUGGAUAGCUACGAAGUCAAUAGUGCAACAAGUUUGCGCUUCUAAGCUGAGCUCGCUUUAUACAUGCACCCGUGUACUUUAAAUUCGAUACUUCGGGGUUCAAGUUAAGUUAGAAACGUUACUAUCAUGGCUACUAUCUCAGUUAUCUGUUAAGGCUAUCACUGUUCAACGGGCUACUAAAUUUAGGAAUAAGAUAAUUAAUUAUAUAACUUAUCCAACUAAAUAAGAACGUUCCAUGGGAUUGUACAAUAAAAUAAUUAUUCACAAUAGUUAAUGAGUAAUUUACUAAAGAGUAUGCAUAUGAAAUUUCUCCUUACAUUCGUGUAUAACAAUUUAAGCUUUUAGAGACAAUAAUAGUAAUACGUUGCGAAUACUGUAGUUGGGAGGACCAACAUGGACCGUAGAUCUCGGCCGCCGUGAUGCGCGGACGGCGAGCCAGACCGCAGCGAACAGUGACCUCCCAGGCCCGAGCUCCAGCCUCUCCACCCUCGUCGCCAAAUUUGCCGCCAAGGGCCUCGACGCCCGCGACAUGACGGCGCUCUCCGGCGCCCACACUAUUGGCCAGGCGCGCUGCGCCACUUUCCGCAGCCGCAUCUACAACGACACCGACAUCGACGCCGGCUUCGCGGCCCUGCGCCGCCAGAGCUGCCCCUCCAUCGGCGGCGACGACAAUUUGGCACCGCUCGACUCGCAGACGCCGAACCGGUUCGGCAACAACUACUACCAGGACCUCGUGGCGCGGUUCGGGCUGCUGCACUCCGACCAGGAGCUGUUCAGCGGCGGGCCGCAGGACGCGCUGGUCCGGCAGUACAGCUCGGAAGAGUCGGCGUUCGCUCGCGACUUCGCGACGGCGAUGGCGAAGAUGGCAACCAUCAGCCCCCUCACCGGCACGGCUGAGGAGAUCAGAUUGAACUGCAGGAGCGUGAACUAGCUAGUGAAGACCAUCAAUUAAUCCAUGAGUUUGCUACAAUUUUAUCAAUAUAUGAUCGAUUUAAUAAGAAACGAAUUCAAAAAUAUAUUUAAGAGUGUUUUCUAUUGAGAAAAAAAAGAGAAAAUAAUUAAUUGAAAAGAUAUGGGUUUUGAAAGUUAAAUUUGUUUCGGUAUUUUUGGUGAAGUGGAGUUUAUUUAUGGACGAAGUUGCUUAUUGAAGUUAUUGUUGUUUUGUUUGAAAUGACGAAUUAUUUAAAAAUAUUUGGUUAGUUACUGAAAUGAAAAUCAGAAUAAACAACUAAAAUAUUUAGAAUUUCAAAAGAAUGUUUGGUUAAGACAAAGAAAUGUGAUGAAAGGAAAAAAGAGUAAUGAACAGUAGGAGGAGAUCGAAGGUGUUUAUGAAAGAAGACUUUGAGUAGGUUUUAUUAGAAUGGGUUGAUCUAGAAUUAUAAGCCUAAUUAGGUCGUAAAAGGAUUGGGUCAUUCCCAUUUCAAGUAGAAUAAAUCCGAUUUCUCUAAAACACACAACAAUUAUUGGAAUAGGUGAAUCUCAUUUCGAUUCCAGAGUUUAAAGUUUGAUGAACCAAACAAGCUCUUAGAAUAUUAGUAUUUUUUGUGAAAAAUAUGUUAGCUAAAAGUUUUUAUAAUAGGUUGUUAAUGGCUAUGAAAAAUGCAAGCUCCAAAUCAAAACUUAUGCUUUUCAUGUUCUUUUUAGUAAUUGGCUUUCUCAUUGGAUUUAAGAGCUUGUUUUGUCCAUUUAUUUUAUAUUAUAGAAUCAGAGUAGGAUUCAUUAAUUUCAAUAGUUAAUAUUUAUUUUACAGAAAUCAUAUUUUGAUCCCCAUUUUACUCUAGAGUGAAAAUGAUUCAAUUCAUUUGUGGUUCAAUCUAACUAUGAAUUUUAAAUUGGUGCAUUUUAAAGCAAAUCAUUCAAAACUCUCUCUUGCAAACAUCUUCGUUUUUGGUCUAUUUUGACUUCCAUUUCAAUAAUAAAUAACAUAUUUUUUGAAUGAUUCAUCAUUCUAUUUUCAAUUCUAAUAUAAUCUAACUCUAUUUUUUAUUUUUAUUGCAAUCUUGAACCAAGCAUCCUCUAAUAAAACUACAAAGAUAUCAUUCCCACGUUGAACUAAAAUAAGAGCCAUGCAUGCCAGCUUGCAUAUACUGUUACGUGAGCAGGAUCGAUGUUGUCUUUUCUCACCAAAUUUUGCUAGAAAACUUACAAAUUCUUUUAUCGGACUCUAUUAUAUAUAAAUUACAUAAUAUAUUUGAUAAAAUAAUGAGAACUUAUGUUAAAUUGGAGGGAUUAAUUCAUAUGCAAAAAAAAAAAGUUAGCCUCCAUUUAUAGGCGAGCAUUUUUUUUUUUAGAGAUAGAUAGCAUGUUAUCCACUUUGUUUGUUAUAUUUAAAAAUAAAUCUAACUAAAAAUAUAAAUUAACUGAAUUUCGAACUUUAAACUUCGAGUAUCAAUGACCAAAUCGAUUGGUUAUAGGUUGGGGUGGCAAUCCAGCUCGCUGUUCGCGAGCCAGCUCGUGUUCAGCUCGAAAUGAGCUCGAGAUCGAAUCACUUGUUUAGUAAACGAGCCGAACACGAGCUGAAUUUUUCAGCUCGUUUAAUCGAUUUGGUGAUUGAUACUCGAAGUUUAAUAAACGAGCCGUGAGCUUUGUUUGUUAUAUUUAUUAUUCGUUGGCUAGCUCGUGAGUCAGCUCGUGUUCGGCUCGUUAAUAAACGAGCCGAACAUGAGCUGAAUUUUUUGACUCGAUACUUUAACAAGCUAGUUCGUUUUCGGCUCGUUUAAAAAAUAAGCCAAAUACACUGAACACGAGUCGACCCCAGCUCACUCGUGUUCGGCUCGUUUACACCCCUAGUUAUAGGCGAGCACUUUACGCUUCUACUUUUCGUGAACUUAUUUUCUUUUCUCUAGUGUUGUUACCCCCCUACGUCACAUUCCCUUUUUUUGUGGGGGGCUUAAUAUGCCGUUUCGUGUAACAACCACAUGUGUCAAACUCUUUGCAAAGAUACUUAGCACGUGGUGUUGAUAGGCGAGUUCGGUCCGUGGGCGACAAAGCCACGCAACUUCCCAUUCAUUGCGUGGGACCCAUAAAUGGCUCAAAACAAAAUAUUACAACAAAUAUAUAUAUAUAUAUAGAGAGAGAGAGAGAGAGUCUAGCUGUAGUGCUUGUAAAAACACCAAGCAUUUGGUACUUGUAAGUUUUUUACCGUUAGAUCUACUUCUCGGAUGAUUUUCAACCAUUAGAUUAUACUAUUCAACCAACCACCCACUCAACCGUAGGGGGUCCACAUCAUCCUAAUCGCAUAUCUCUUAAUCCAAUGGCUAAAAAUCUACAAGUACCAAUAACUUAGUACUUUUAAAAACAUAGGAGCUCAAUUUUAUAUAUAUAUAUAUAUAUAUAGAGAGAGAGAGAGAGAGAGAGAGAGAGAGAGAGAGAGUCUCCUAUACUAUCUAAAGUAUCGGGGCUCCGGUACUAUAGUCCCGUUUUCAAUCUUAGAGUGUUCAAAUCAACGAUCCACACCGUUAAAACUGAUCUAGAGUAUUUAAAGUUUUUCAAAAUAAAAUUUUAUAUUUUUUUGACAUAGUUUACUUUAUGAUCAAAUAAUUUCAAAAUUGUCAAUUUUCAAUGGCUACUAUGGCGAGUUUGGAGUUUAACGGUGUAGAAGAAUCUAAAUUUUUUCAAAUUUUGAUAGAAAAUACUUUAAACUAUCUAAAUUAAGGUUAAUAUUUUUAAUCUUGAAUUUAAAAAUCCUAUGCUCAAAUUUUAAAGAUUAUUCAAUUUUCACCGUCCAUUUUGAUAUAAUUUAUUUACUAAGUAAACGAUAUCGAAAAAAACUAAAAUUUUAUUUUUAAAAACUCCAUAUACCCUAGAUCAUAUUUAACGGUGUGGAUCGUUAAUUUGAACACCCUAAGAUCGAAAACAAUACUAUAAUACCGGAGCUCGGGUACUAUAGAUAGUAUAGUAGCCUAGCUCUAUAUAUAUAUAUAUAUUGCUCCCUAGGUUUUGUUUCUUCAUAAUGUGCUUGUGAAGGUCUAUGGUCGAUCAUGAGUUCUGUCACUCCAAGUGUAACAUCAACAUCAAGCAGCAUCAUAGCAUAUCACAUAGUGGUCAGAUUUGCAUAAGCUACUUAUCUACACUGAGCAAAAAAGAUAAGACACAUUAACCAUACGUGAGUGAAUCAAGAGAAUACGCAUACUACUACCCUAUCUCUCAAAGUAAAAUAUUAUAAUUCAUUCUUAACAAUCUGUUGCUUGCUUUUCGACUUCACAUCUCAAACUAGAGCUGAAAAACCUCGUGCUUGAACACUUGUUCUAUAUGUCAUUAGAAUCAACUUAAAAGUACAGGCUCUCUGUGGCAUGAGGAGUUUCCUACUACAUUUUUCAUGCUCAAUUAUUCAAGUUGCAAAUCUCUUUAAAAAUAACAUAAAGAAGCUGAUAGAUCAUAAUCCUAAAAUCUAACUGGUUUUCUAUCUAAGAUUUUUCUCCUUUUUUUUCUCUUUUGGCAAGUAACAAAUAAACUGUCACAGUAAGCAGUAGGAAGACAUAAGAUCAUAGCAAGAAAGUCAGUGAGCACCUGUCGCUGGUCCUGAACACAGCUCCAGCAUUCUCUAACAAGAUCUUGAGCAAUUCCAAAGCCACAAUCUUCCCUUUCAUCAGCGCAGGAUCUGCUGCCGCAUCCUUGGGAGGGGUCUUCAUCGAGAGCUUACACAAAGCCCGGAACACCAAGAACGCAUCUCUCCUCAGCUUAUUCCCGAUCUGCACCUCCGCAUCGUCCUCCCUCUCCACCGCCACCCCGUCCACCCCCAACUCAUCCUUCCUCCCUUCCAGUGCCGUCUUGUACAUGCUGAUCUCCCAAUACUUGGCGUCCAACAUAUCCUUGUCAGUCGAAUCCAGCAGAUCUGCCGGAUUCGUGCUCUCCACCGCUGUAGNUAAAGAUAUCCAAAUCAAUUGAAUUUUUGUUAGAAAAUUCUUUAAACUAUUUAAAACAAGAUCUAUACUCUUGAUCUUGAUUACAAGACUCCUAUCAUCAUUUUUUAAAGAAUAUUCAUUUUCAGCCAUUCGUUUUUUGUUCACUAGAUGGAUAAAAGAACAAUAUCGAAAGUGCGUGAAAUUUGAUUUCUAGGUAGUUUAAAUGGUUUAGAUCAUAUUUAACGGAGCCGAUCGUCAAUUUGGAAGCUCUAUCAUCAAAAACAACUCGAUAGUAAAAUGCCCCGUUUACUAUUGAGAGUAUUCUAGCUCAACUCUAUAUAUAUAUAUAUACACCAGAUAAAAUAUAUAACAUUUUAAGUUGAAUAUUCUAGUAUUUUAAAAUAGAAGAGAAAAAGGCCACCGAACUCACAAACGGUGCUCGGAUGCGUAUGGUUAAAGCACGUCUCUUAUCCUCCAUAUUAUAAAGUAAAAUGAAAAGAGAAAAGAAAGAAAAGUAGAGGGUCCAAACACCGAUUAUUAUUGUUAUUAAUAGUGAGUGGUGACAAAUACCUACACUGAUCGAGUAGUUUGAGCGUAUCCGAUUUUUGGCCGCCCUUAUAAAUAUAAAUUUGUCUGAUAAUUGUAAAGAGCGUUAUAAUGAAUCAUGAUCACACGAUUUUCAACAUGCCCUAAACGUUUAAUUUACAAGUGUGCGCUCUAAAUUAUAAUGUUUAGGUUAUCUUAUUUGGCUUUAGCUACGAUUAGGUGUGAUUUUGUUAGAUUGAAUAUUAUUUGAAAAGAGCAUGUUUUUACAAAAAGCAUCAAUUAGGAGCUUCUGCUUUUUAAGCCAUGAUCUUAUUCUCUAUUUUCUUUUACAAGCGAAGUAUUGGUUAUUUAUUUAUUUAUUUAUCUGCUAUGCGCUCUAUUAAGUAUGUGAGUUUUGUGAAAAAGAAAGGUAAAGGUGGGACUAAUUAAAGAAAGCAAAGUGGGAGAUGACCUCAUAGCAAGUUGAGAAGAAGCACACAACAAAUUGUCAAUCAACGUUGAAAAGAAUGUCGAUAAUCAAGAAAAAUAUAGACAACAGAUCAGGAUCCAAAUCCUACCUUACACCUAAAAAUAGAAAGAAAAUAUAUGAUAUUAAUCUAAGUGGGAGGUGCACAAUGUACAUAACGACUUGGUUAUAUGUAUAUAUAUGUCCAUUAUUUAACCAGCAACUUUUUCUACAAAGAUAACAUGAACCAUACGUGCUCAUCUCAUCUACACAACCCACCACUUAUUCCAUAAUAGCCCUAACUUUCCGUAGAAGAACACAUGCAUAAAUAUAUAAUCUAAAAGUAAAUUAAGUGAAACAUGACAUGGACAGCAAACAUAUAUAUAUGUUUCUAUUUCAAUCAAAUAGUUGGUAGAUUUAUCACUGUUAAAAAUUAUCCACCAACGUCUCCUUUUCACAUGUACCCAACAAAUUAUUAUAUUUAUAUCCAUUGAAAUUGCCUAAUCCAUGUGAUGGGAUGGCCAUGAAUCGUGCUAGAUUUAGCAAUCGCGUUAAGAGUCAAAAAGAGUUGACCAUUGCGAAAGCCUAACUCAAUAAGUCCACACUAAACCACUCUACUUAAUGAAACAACUCCUAGAAGAAGACGAAACUAUUUAGUGUUUAUUGGCGCUUCUAUGUAUCCCUAGUCAAUAUCGUCUCCUGCGUUUCGCGUUUGCAUGCAUCCACUUGUGUGUGUGUGUGUAUAUAUAUAUAUAUAUAUUACCCAAAUUGAACUAAUUCUUGGAGUUUUAUUGGUCGACUCUUUAUACACCGAAAAUAAAAAGAACUAAUUUUGCAAACUAUUGUCAUUCAUUCUAUCUCAUAUAUACUUGUAUCCCGUGCUCAAUGCCCUGCACACUUUUAAUGUAUGUAAAAUAAGUCAAUUUUUUAGAUAUUCGAAUAGUUUGAUUCAAAAUACACGGUCAAUGUAUAUUUAGAUUAGUUAGUUGGUAUCUUUAUUGUCCAAAUAAAAGACUCCAGUUCAAGUUAUGCUUUGCGCGUGUGGUGCAUAUGCUUCUGACACGGCGCACCCGAUUUAGAGAAUAUUUUCUCCACAAAAGUAUUUGUUCAGUGUUUUUAAUACCAAAUUGCUUAAUAAUUAUAUUGCCCGUGUUGCAUGGCCAUUCCAAUUUUAUAAUUUCUUAGCCACGUUACAGCAGCAAAGCAGCAAAGUUUGACAAUUUAAGAUCACCCCAUUUGCAUGCAUGCAUGCAAAUGACACUAUAAAUAGUGCUUCACUCAAAAGCACUUGUAUCACCUCAAACUCAACCAUCUCUAUCUACUGGCAACUUAGAGAGAGUUUAGAGCCAUGGCCUCCUCCCAGAGCUUGUUCUCACUGUGCCUUCUUUCUCUCUUCGCUUGCGCCACAUACGCGCAGCUCUCGUCGUCUUUCUACGACCACACUUGCCCGAAACUGCCGCGCAUUGUGCGCACCGCCAUGAUCCAGGCCGUGAGGAAUGAGCGGAGGAUGGGCGCGUCGAUUCUUCGGCUCUUCUUCCAUGACUGCUUCGUCAAUGUGAGGAUCUGAUCAUAAAAUGCUCUUAGUACUCUUCCUCACGCAGCCUUUUACUGAUGGGAAGCGGUUGUGAAUUUUGAUUUACUUGUACUGCACUGUUUUUACAGGGCUGCGACGGUUCGAUCCUUUUGGAUGACACGGCGACCUUCACCGGAGAGAAGAAUGCCUUCCCGAACCGAAACUCAGUUCGCGGCUUCGAAGUCAUCGAUACCAUCAAAUCGAAUGUCGAAGCCGCCUGCAAUGCGACUGUCUCGUGUGCCGACAUCCUCGCCCUCGCAGCACGCGACGGCGUCUUCUUGGUAAUACUAGCGAAAAGUUCUAUUGAGUUAUAUUGCAAGUGAGAUAAAGUCGGUAAAUAGUGACCAAAUUUAAUAAAUAUGCUACUUCUUGCAAUUCCUUUUCAGCUUGGUGGACCAUUCUGGAACGUUCUGCUGGGCCGCCUCGACGCGACAACCGCGAGCCAGAGCACGGCAAACUCCGACCUCCCCGGUCCGAGCUCUGACCUCUCCACCCUCAUCUCCAAAUUUGCCGCCAAGGGCCUGACGGCCCGCGACAUGACCGCGCUCUCCGGCGCCCACACCAUCGGCCAGGCGCGGUGCGCUACGUUCCGCACGCGCAUCUACAACGACACCGACGUGGACCCGAACUUCGCAGCGCUACGGAAGCCGAACUGCCCGGCGUCGGGGGGCGACGACAACUUGGCGCCGCUCGACGUGCAGAGCCCGAACCGGUUCGGCAGCGAACCUGCUGGUGCAGCGUGGUCUACUGCACUCGGACCAGGAGCUCUUCAAUGGGGGGUCGCAGGAUCAAUUGGUGAGGCUAUAUAGCUUCAAUGAGGGGCUCUUCGCGGGGGACUUUGUUACGGCUAUGUUGAAGAUGGGGAACAUUAGCCCGUUGACUGGGUCAAAUGGUCAAAUCAGGUUGAAUUGUAGGAAGGUGAACUAGUAGUAGUAGUAAAGGGAGAUUUUGAUGAAAAAGAAGUAUUGAUAAUAAUAAGAAGAAUUAAUUGUUUGUUAAAGUUUGGUGGUGUUUGGCUCUUAAUGUGGCGGGGGUUAAUUUGCGCUUGUAACUCUCAUUGUACUCUGUUAAUGUUGAUUUAUGAAGCAAUUAAUUCAAGAUAAUUGAGUUCCAUUAAUAGCUGAUUGUUCUACAAAAAAAAAAAAAAGAAAAAAGAAAAAAAAAAAAGAGGCUUCUAUGUUCGUUUCUUGGUGCUAGUUUUGUCUUACUCCUGCUAAUUUUUUCUUUAAACUACAGCUUCUAGUAGAGUGCUUGAUGACCAAACAGCAUGUAGUCUUUACAGUGGUGUAAAGCAAAAAAAGAAAAAAGAAAAAAAAAAAGUUCUUAAGAUCUAAAAUAAAAUCGCCAAUUUACAGUUUUAAAUUUUGUUGUAGGAAAAAAAAAAACUGCUAAAAUGAACAACAUAUUAGAUACCAACUCAGACGCUUAAAAAAAUUAAUAUUUUACAUGAUAUCAAGGCAGAAGAUUGAAGAUUCUAUAUUUAUUUUUAACCAUGGACUUAUGUCUCCUUUGGAAGAUGCCUCACACUGGUCUCUCAACCAAUAAAAAGCUGCUUUUUUUAACCCUGUACACUAGACUUGGAUCUGGUGAACUUAAACAUGUCAAAUUUAGCUCGACCUUUUUCUCCUAUCAAGAGAAGAACCGGGUACAGGGAAUUGAUCACCAACCCUCAAGCCAUUGCUUUGAAUCUCCCAGUAUAAUUAUAACCCAAAAUUUUGGGCCUUUGACUUCUCAACCAAUUCAAAUUUCAAACCGUUGAGGAGGUAAUUAAUUAACAGUAAUCUCUGUUCACUUAAUAGAAACUUAAAAGGGCUCUUUUCAAGUCCACAUUAAAGCUCAUUGAAGUCGAUAUCAAACACUUCAUACUUUGCGGAAAUUAGAUGGGGACUGCAUGCAAAUAAAUGCAGAUAUACAGCCUCGGAGGUUGGAGUUUCAAAUCCCCGUAUGUACACACCAAAGUCAGAGUCUUUGACUCUCAGAUUCAGAUAGUAUACAUAUACUAUAUUGAUUUUGGUUAGGAAUAGGAAUAGGGAUAGGCCUUAUCCCCCAUUUGUAUCUAAAUAUUAAUUUUUUAUCCGAGAACAGCAGUUCUCGGUUAUCUAUAAUAACCGAUUAUAACUAUCCCUAUCAUCACCUCUAUUUUCUAUAUAAAACUAUCUAAUAUUUUUCUUAUUUCAUAUUAUCUAUCCAAACGCUAUUUUUCUUAUCCCAGAAACAAUUCAAUUUUCAUCCAAAUAUUUUUUUUCUUAUCCCCAUACUUAUACCUAUUCCUAUAAUAGCUAGUUCUUAUUUAUACCUAAACCAAACGGUACCUUACAAACAACUUCAGACAGAGAGAGAGAAAGAGUCCGGUAAAAGCAUCUUGAAUCUUCAAUACACCAUUAUCUUCUUUUCGCUAUGAUGGCACAUAAACGUCACAUUUGGUCUCACUGAAAAGUUGGAUCACUGUACAUCAUGUGAACUCAGAAUAGACGUUGAUGACACGUGUGCCUAAGUAUAGAACCUUUUAGGUCCAUUUGAAUUUACCAUACAAGGAGAAGAUGUUGCACAAUUGUUAAUGAUGUACAGUCGAUGAACGCUUUACCGUAGUUAAAACUUAAAAACUUCGUGUUUAGGUAUCAAAUUAUCUAUCUUUAGAAGUGUUUUUCUUGGUAUUGAUUUAGUACUAUAAACUCUAGUUGCUGAAAAAGCUGUCACAAAAAUCAGUUCAACUAGAGUUUCUUCUCUGGAGACCAAUAACAGAGAGUCGAUGAACAAUUACCGAAAAAAUGAAAUGCAUAUAAGCAAAUCAAGAGAACCAAUGAUUUAGGCUAGCGAAUGGUGCCAAUUAAACUGAGAUAUAAUGUUAUCAGCAUCAGAAAAGUACUCAUUAAAAGCACUGGUAAGCAAAUGAAACAAAAAAAACACAAAUCCAUAUGUUACAAUUCAGCCUAAUGCUCUCUUCUAAUCAGAUACUGAUAAUUCAUUAUAAUAAUAAAUUAAGAUACUGAGAAACUGUCCAGGGUUCUAAUAAGAAAGAGUACACCAUUUAUAUCUACACCACCAUCCCAAGCAAUUAGAGCUUCAUAUAAUAAGCCAAACUUAAUGUCCAAUUAAUUCAUUCAACUACAAAAGUUGAAGGCAGCGAAAAUGACUAACACAUUACCGUUGCCACCUUACAUUCUAAACCGAAAGUUCAAAAAAGAAAGGGGAAAUAAAAAACAUUACAAAUUCAAGAACCGGUUUUACCACAGUCCAGCGACGCAAGAGGCCUGGAGGCAUGAAAACUAGAGCUGCAACCCUUCGCGAUCGACCUGUUCUUGACAAGAGGGACCAGCGAUUGGACCACAUCAGCCAUGAGAGGCCUGUAAUCACCCUCCGGUUGCACGCACAUGGCGGCAAUGGCGGCCACUUGAACGGCAUCCUUCAUGCUAUACUGGCCUUCCAAUGCUGGAUCCAUAAUCUGCACUACUUUCUCUCUGUCCGUGAGCAAAGGCAGAGCCUGUUGUAACAAAGAAACGUAGCCAUGUCAGAUUACUAGGGAGGUAAGAGCAACAGAAUAAGUUUUGUACUUCUUUAUUAGGACACGAUUUAUAAUACAAUAGUUUCCUAUAAAGUGGCAGCAGCAUAACGAUGAAGUUGUGUAAAUUUUUAACGGAGUCGAGCAAAAACCGUACCCAGGUGACUAGAACGCCUUCUCCAGCAGGCCUGUUUGUGUCCACAGGAACUCUGCCAGUAAGCAGCUCCAAGAGAACAACUCCGUAGCUGUACACAUCUGAUUUAGUUGUCAAAUGCCCUGUUAACGCAUAUCUGUACAGGUACGAAUGGAAAAACCACUUACAUAUGUUCAAGAUUUAUGACAAAGAGUAUAUUUAUGAUGAUUAGGAGGGAUUCGUGUUUACUCAGGAGCAACAUAUCCUUGAGUGCCUAAAACUCGAGUAGAAACAUGCCCACCAGCUCUAUCAGAUCCAAGCUUAGCCAAACCAAAAUCAGAGACUUUGGCGUGGAAGUUUUUGUCCAAGAGGAUAUUGCUGCUCUUGAAAUCUCUAUGAAUGACGGGUGGACUAACAUGCUCAUGGAGGUACUCUAAACCUCUCGCAGCUUCCAGAGCUAUUCUCAUUCUCGUGUCCCAAUCCAGCUUAGAAAUGCCACCACACGAACCUGUAAUAAAAAUAUUAACAGAGAAAACAGCCUCUUGUAGAACUAUCCCACAACUCGGGAAAAAAAAAAGUUUUCUCCACAUUAGGAGCAUAUCCAUGUAAAAUAAUUUCGUGCGCAAGCCCAAAAAAAACAUUUGCCAUCUACAAGGUGUCAAAACUAGCUAUUAAUAUAUAUUGUGGUUUGUUCACUUACCAUAAGAAUUUUGAGAUAUUUGUGCUGUGAACGUCAUAAUUUUCAACUGGAUAAAUUAUUGACUGAUGUUUAAUGCUUCUACUACACAAAUAAGAGAUCAGCACAAUCAGUUGGCAGAGGUUGAAACAGACAUGUAUGUUUACGCAUACAUAUUUAAAUACGUGUAUUAUAGUCACCUGUAUUAUAUUCUCACUUGAUAACAACCUUUCCUACUUCCCUAUUAAAACUUGCAAAGUGCAAUUCUACGGUUUAAACUUUGGCAUGGGCUGAAGACCUUUGUUUAGGUUUGGACGAUUUCACCCUCCAGCCGAAGCUGCUUCUCGUAGGAUUGGCGACUUUACUUUAGGUUUUGGCAGUUUCAGUAUUGAGUUGCAACACUUUCUCGCUGAUUUUGACUCAUUUGGCACAAAAGUUCAAACUAAUAAUAAAAAAUCAAAGAAAAAACAAAUAAUGAUACUAAAAAUUUGACAUCUGCCAUCUAUUAAGAAUGGUGGUUUUCAAAUCAGAGAGCCGAGGGAGUCGUUGCGACAAAGCUCAAAUUCCAGUGUGAUAAUUUGCAGAUUUUUUACCCAGUACUAAUACAUUAAUAAUGUACUAGAUUAUAUAAAUGCUCCAAAGUCCUAUGCAAUACUAUUUUCGUAUUUUGCUCCUCGCACAACAAAGUUUCCAACUUCCUUAACAAUGUGGUCCAGACAUCAACUGCUGUAAUGGAGCCAAGCAUCAAACAUUUCAAACUCUGUCCUGCAGAUUCCCCAACCCCUCCCUUUUUCUCUUAAAUCUGAACCCUAUAAACCCCACAAACAAAAAUAUCAAACAGAGUAUAAAAGAGGGAGCAAACCUCCAUUUGGGUAAAGAUGCUCUUGCAAACCCCCGUUGGCCAUGAACUCGUACACCAACAGCCGGUGUCCGUUUUCCGAGCAGUGCCCGAUCAACCCCAGCAGAUACGGCGACCGGAGCCGCGUCAGCAACUCCACCUAAAAAGAGACCUCCAUCUUGAACUCCUCCUCGCCCUGCAUCCCGGGCCGGUCCAUGAGCUUCACGGCGAUCUUGCGCCCGUCGGGGAGCAACCCUCGGUACACCGACCCGAAGCUUCCGUGGCCCACCACGUGGCCCUUCCCGAACCCACCCGUCGCCACGUGGAGCUGCUUGUAGCUGAACAGCUGUACCUGUAUCCCUCUCUCGCUCACCACCACCGUACCCUCUCCUCCUCCUCCUCCUCCUCCUCCAACGCCGCCGCCGCCGCCUCCUAAAUGGUUCUCAAUGUCCUUCGCCUCCUCCUCCUCCGCCUCCUCCUUCUUCGUCUCCUCCUCUGUAUGCGCAAAAACAGGAAAACCCAGUUAGCCGCUAGAGAUGGGAGAUGGGGGAAUGGGGGAUGGGGGGACGGGGUGGGGGACUCACUGUUGAGGGAUUUGAGGUGCUUGGAGACCUUGUUGCUGAUGUAGCAGUAGUAGGUAAAGGCGACGAGGAGGGAGACCAAGGAGAGCCCCGCUAAGACCACGAUCACGAGGAGCGCGACUCCCUCCUCUCUUCGAUACUCCCCCCCCAUUGAUCCUCAGAGCUUUCUACGUACACGGCAAUGGCGAUGCGUGAGUGAGAGACACAGAAAGAGAGAGAGAGAGAGGCAUUAAAGUGGAGUACAGGGAGGUUGACUAAGAUGGAACAUAAAGAGAGCGGGGAGUAUCAGUAUAUUUAUUACUCUUUUUCAAUAAAGGGGGAGAGACGGGGAGAGAAUAUGCAAAGUCGAAGGAAACAAACAAAAAAAAGGUUUCAGACUUCAGAGGCUCCGUGCAGAGACGCAGUGACAGUACUUCCUUGUGAACUUCAUGUAUUAAAGAGGAUGACGCAAAGACUGAAUGUAUACGUUUGUUAAAACUUUGAACUCAUUUAAAUUCAUGUUCUGCAAAAUAAAAUUUUAUUUAAAAUAUUUGUGUUUGCAUAUAAAAAUAUUAAAUGUAUACAUAUAUUAUUUUUUUUUAGUAUUCCGCCCGCCCCCUGAAGAGGAAGAUUUUCGAACGUUUCUGCGUAGCUUAAUCGUUACCUCUUUUGAACUUUGAAUAACACACUUGAUUAAGGCACCUUACUAGAGUUUUCUAACGAGUUAAACAACUACAUCGUUUUAUCUCUUUUGAUAAUAUAGAAUAUUUUUUUUGAUUUUGUGACUAUUAACAUAGAAUCAAGUUUAACAAAAAUAUAUAUACAUACACAUAAAACCAAAAAUAAACUAUAUUAUCUGUCUUAUUUGGACCUGUCUGAUCUUUCAAUCCGCCAUCAUCCGAUCAGUCAGCAAGCAAAAAACCAACAGAAUAAACAGAAGCACAAACUUGGGUUACAAAUUUAUUGGUAAACCAGAAUCUGGUUCUGAGUGAUAAAUUACAGCAACAACAUUCAAGAUGAGCUUACUGCAGAACGAAUUUGCCAAUUAGCCAAAUAAGCAGGCAUUGCCAUAGAGCAACAUCCAUCACUGGUAAGGAAUGAGCACCUAAAGAACUUGGCCCUGCAUGCCUCAGGAGUUCCCAAAGUGUAUGUUGGAAGUAACAACAGAAGAAAAAAGAUCAUAGUGCCGAUACCUCAGAAGAAUACAGGAGCAUCAUUUUGUGUUACUCAUUCGGCGACCUAUUUAAAUAGGUUCCGUUAACAUUUAAUUUCAGGUACCAAAAUUGCAUCCGAGUCCGCCUGAUAACUCUACUCCAAUGCCGUAAUCUUGUGUUAUUACUACUUGACUUGAAGUGUAUUGUAGUGAUCGGCGGCAACAGAUAGUGACUGAAUUGAAACAGGAAAUCCAGGUCCCAUCUGCAGGAAAAAGAUUAGUUAAGAAGCAGCACAAAGGCACAAAGAUGAGGAAAGCCUAAGGAUUAAAAUAAAUUAAAUAAAAAAGGAAAUGCAGGGUGUAGCAUUUAUUGGCAUGAAAACCAAUCAAAUUGAUCACAUUAUGACUGGUUUCUGGCAAACAGAAUGAUAUAAAUCAGACAAACGUUUGUCGCCAAUAACAUAUAGCCAAAAAGUACUGAAUGUUAGGACCAUGUGAAUACUCCACCGAAGCACCCUAUUUUGGUACCACAAAUUAGUUGAUGGCUAUUUCCUAUGACCUUUAAUAUCUAAAUAGCAAGGAAUUUAUAUCUGCUUAGCGGCUGUCAUUAAACUUACUGUGCUACACAAGGUGAAGUUCUUUACAUAUCCAGCAUACUUGGAAGCUGUCAUCAAGAAACAGAAACCAGAUCAUUUAAUUUAAAUGUACAAAAACUAUUCAACACAACGAAAUAGCUAAAAAGAACAAGUUCAAUAUAAGUAUCAAAAGAACUGGUGACUAUACAACGAAACCAUGUGGAUAGUGAAAUGCACAUUCAUUUGAAUAACAACUUGCACCCUGCAAGCUAAAUUAAGUGGGCCAUAUUUAAGUCAUAAUUGGAGGAUCACAUAGAAUCACUAUGCGUCCUCUUAGUGUAUGUGGUAGUGACAUAUUAUGAAGGGACUUACUUUUCUUUAGCCCCACAGGCUUUGCAAGCAAAAGGGCAUGUACAAACGCUCCAAUAUUUUCACGCAAAUACUCCUCAGAGAAGUUAACCUGUAAGACAAAAAUAGAAGAGCCGCAUAUUUCUUUAUUUCUGAUCCCAUGUGUAACUACAAUAAUAUAUCUAUUUUUACCCCAACGAAAAGUAAUACAAUAAGAAAAUAGACGUGCCUACUGCUAUAAAAGAUAUAUCAAAUAUAUCUCAGGUGAGCAGACAAACACUGAAGAAGAAGAAUAUAUAUGCUAUCAUUUCACUUAUUAAUGUCGCCUGAUGGAGCACUGUUUGUUAAAUAACUUGCAGAUCUUCUCUUCUUUUUUUUAUCCUUCCUCUACUAGGUUGAUAGAGUUGUCAAAUGGAAAAGGCCAAACAAUCAGAUACAUAAAUUAAAGAAAUACAAAUUUCAAAUAUUACGAAAAGGAAUACAACUAAACUGUCUCAAAACCUUGUGGAGACAAUUAGAGAACGGAAAACAACCGCUACAAAUGCCAAGCCUACUAGGCCUCAGAUCAUUUCCAACAUCCGUCUUUGCAUGAUUUUUCUAUUAUAAGCUACAUCUGUGUUAAAGCUGUGAAUUUCUCCAAGUCUUUCCAUAUAGAGAUUUAACGUUAAACCUAACAGCCCUUUGUCAACAUUAUGUGCAUAUUGUGCCCAUAGCUUCAAUCUUGCAUGUGCCAGAUGGGAAGAAUUUUCACAGUUUGAUCAAUUACAUAAAAGAGGAUUCCGCCCCUGGAAAUGCAUUAGAAUGGUAGAACAGGCAUGGUAGCUAGCUUGACAAAAGUGUGUGUGUGUAUAUUCGAGAUAGGAAAUAAAUGCUUAACUGAACAAUUGAUUUCACGUGUUUCUAUAUUUCACAGAUGCAGCUUCAGGUUUACGAUAGGUUAUGGCUGUGGGUAGUAUUUCCCUGAUUUCACCUGAGGACAAUAGAAGUAGGAUAAUCAUACCUUUCCAAGGCCUGCAUGCACUAUAGCAGUUUUGUCGAUUUUGAAAUCAAUUCGACCGCAUUUUGCCUGUUUAACUGCCCCAGAAACGUCACUUGUCACAGAUCCUAGCUAUAUUAAAACAGGAAGGUGUUAGAGUAGCAUUUUGGAUGCAAGCCUCAUAUUGCUAGAUGAACGAAACUCACUUUGGGAUUCGGCAUCAGACCACGGGGACCAAGGAUCCUAGCAAUCUGAGGAAGCAAAACUGUGAAUUACGAGAUACAAAGAUAUGCAUAGAAACUAAAACAUACAAAGAGAUGCUCAGUCUACGAACCUUGGAAAGGCGUGGCAUGUACAUUGGCGUUGCAAUGCACUUGUCAAAAUUGAGUUUACCGCCUCCUGCAGACAAAAUUUAACCGGCUGUUAGUGUCACAAUAAUGCACCAAAGUACCAAGAAAAUAAUAUGUCAAAUAUCAAAAAUUCUAAUUAUUGGUUCUUCUCUUGAUUUUAAUCAACUUUUGAGCCUUAUUUCAGCAGUAAAGCAAUAUCUUAUACCUUUUCUAUGGUAAGUAUAAUUACUUUCUUGUUACGUAAACUUCAAGAAAUGGCUAUAGAAGUAGAAGAUGCCCAGCAUGCUGGUGGUCCAUCCACUUCGGCUGAUACUCUAAACUUAGCUCAUUUUUCCAACAGACUCCAUAUUAAAAUUUGCAUCAACCGCAUGCAAUUAUCUUCUGGAGUUUCCAUCAAACUUUCUCAAAAAAAAAAAAAAAAAAAAGGAAGAAAGAUCUAGAGAUCUUACAAUGCAAACUAACAAAAUUCAGAAACUAUGCCAGAAAAGGAAGCAAAUUAGUACCAGUUCUUAUUUCCUCAAUAAGUUCAUCACCACCUACUACAUCAGCUCCUGCAGCCCUCGCUUCAUCAGCUGCAACCCCUUCAGCAAAUACAGCUACCCUAACAGUCUUCAAAACAAUGUUGACCAUCAGCAUCAAACUUCAAUGCACAAGCUACAUAAACGAAAGCUGAAAGGUCUCUAGUAUGGUGUUCAGGAGUACCUUUCCAGUGCCAUGAGGCAGUGUCAAAGCACCACGCACCAUCUGCAUCAUCAUAAGGAGAAUACUGUAAGCAACAAAAUAAAGAAGCAAACAAGUUAAAAUGUUAAACAUCUGCCAAGUUCCAAGCAAUAUGUCAUAAAUUAACUGAUAUAAGAAGUGGGCUUCCGUAUUUGAAAGUUAAAAUGCUUCCAAGGUAAGAAAUUUGGAGAAUGUAGAAAUGACACGAGACCUUAUUAUUGUGUAAAUAAAUAUAACAGAGAUUUUUUCCUACAACAUCUGUUCUGACUUAUGACAGACUAGCAAUGUUGCAUUGCAUGAGCAUAAUAAGCAUAAUAAAUCUAAGCGUAACAAGUUCUAUAUAUCAGCUUAAAUACCUGAUCGCCGCGACGUGGAUCGACACCCAAAACAACAUGAGCUUCAAGAGUUUCGAUGAAGUUACGUUUUGCAUUGGCCUGAAAACAGUUAGCAUCAUUAAGAACUACUCUUUGUAAAUCUUGAACCAAAAAAGGUAGGAAUUUUUUUAAAAAAAGAAGGUUAAGAAUCAUUGUUGUUCUUUCUCUUUGAGUUAACGUUGCAUUCUUCUAAUGUCGAUUUUUUUAAAACUCUUCUUGUUAUGUGUUUUAUGAGUGUUUCAAUACCAACAGAUACCGUGUUCCCAAUACAUGCCAAAAUACAUUCAUGGAGAGCUCUGAACAACAGUUUCUCCAGUCCGAUAGCAUCACACUCAAUUGAAGAUUUUGUCAGAGAGUCAAAAUCUUCCAAUUCAUAAUCCGAUCUACUUUUUCGUAUAUUCUGCACAAUCCCCUAACGCCUAGAGAAAACAAUUGCGAGCCCGUUUAUUGGUCAAACAAGUGUAACUCCUUAUCCACUAUAAUAUCAACAACAACCAAGAAUAAGUGCUAGGUGGACACUUAACAGAUAAAAAAAAAAUAGUGAAAUUCGGGGAAAAAGAAAACAAGUUUUUUUUUUUUUGCCCCUAAAAUACUCCAAAUGUAAUAUUUCCUUAAUAGUUAAUAAAAACACCAGAAUUUUUCGCAGAUCAAACAUCUUCGGAUAGAAGUAGUAAUACAAUAAUCUCUGUUUCAAUUUAGAGAUAGCUGAAUGAUGUGUAUAAUGCGCUGACCUUCACUUCUCGAAUGGCCUCCAUCAAAUCCAUGGGCGCCUUCUGCGGCUUCUUCUCCGGCCUGAUCAGCGUCGGAUACGGCGCCUUCUCCUCCUCCUCCUGGAACCCGAAGAAGCUCCUCACCCUCGCAUCGGACUCGAUCCUCCUCGCCUCCCUCUGCAGUGGCUCCUCCUCCCCUCCCUUCUCCUCCUCCUCGGCCCACGCGCGCCGGGUACGACACCGGCGAGAUCGCCGCCCCCGCCGCCGCGUCCUUCACGAACCGCGCGUCCUCGCGCGUCCAUGGCCGGGGUUCGGGGCGCGGAGGCCUCCGCGGGGGAGGCCGAGGAGGAAGCGAGGGGGAGGGGGCGGUGGAGGUCGAUGCGGCGGCGGCGUCGUCGCCUUCGUUGGGGGAGGAAGGGUCUUCGGGUUUCACGGGGUAGGAGACAGGUUUAAUCGGGGCCGAGGAGGAGGAGGAGGAGGAGGAGGAGGAGGAGAAGGUUGGGAUGCGCCAUCAUCGUGGGGGGUUUCUGGGGUUUAGGUGGGGAUAAAAAGGGGGGAAGAGAGGAGAGAAUGGGGUGCAGGUUAUGGAGAGCGUUUUGGUUUUUGGGGUUGGUGGGUAAGGAAGAUGAACCGGAUCCUGUUUAAUUGGGCUGGGCUUUGGCCCAAUAAAUGAGACCCGUGAGGCUGUCACCAGCUACUUAAAACGGGCUGGAAGGCCCAUAACCGGCCUGGCCAAGCACUGGGUUGCGCUCAGCUGGUCCGACACAACAGUUUGAGACUCAUCCAGCCCUUUCCUCGAAGUAUUUGUAUUAGAAAAUGUCCCUGAAUUAUUAGGAAUUAAGUUGUUUCUUUUUUUUUUUACCGACUGUUCCUCAUGCGGAUGCAAAGGACUUAAUGGUUGAUACUUAACAACUCAAGUUUGAAGCCUAAUUGCAGCUUUUUUAUGAAAAAAAAACAGGUUUUUCAAGGGCAUAAACAUAAAUUGGAAUUUUGAAUGGAUAAACAGGUAACUUCUUUUUUGCUGACAAAAUAGAGAAUUAGGCAUUGUUUAAGUAUAGCUUAUUUUGAGUAAAUAUUUUUUAAUAUGGUUUUAGAUAAUGAGUUUUGAUUUUUGCUUCUUCAAAAGUAUUUUAUGAUUGGGCAGGAUAAAAUAUUUUACUUAUGAGGUAAUUUAUCUUUUUCUAAAAAAGAAAUUUGAAAUUCGAAUAUAAUAUCUCAUUUUAACUAUUUGACCACUCCUUAUUAAUCAAAUGUAUAAAUUUCUUAAAUAAUUUAUAGAAAUAUACAUAAUAGAAUAUUAUAUAUCAUAUGUAACAGAUUUCGUCAUAUUAUUAUCAAUGAAUAGCCUAUUUCAACGUUCCAAACAUGUGUUAAGACCAUUUCCAUUCUAUUUUAUUUUAUUUUGAUCUUUUCAGCCGAUUUCAUAAGGUUUCAGAUAAAAUAUACGCUUCCAACAUCAAAACUCGAAAUUAGAGCCAAUUUGAUAUUGAAAAUUAUAAAUUGGGACAAAAACAUGUCGUAGCAAUUUAUGCGGCUUACUAUUAAUUCUGUAAGAAAAUAACUCGAAUAUUAUUCCAUUGCCCAUCUUUGUUACACGUAAUAUUCUCUACCUGCAAUUCCGAGCGAAGACUUGGUAAUGGGCACCGGAUUUAGAAAGCAACUAAAUUAAUCUCAAAAAUGUCUUACCUGAUCAAGCCGCAAACCAACAACAUGCACCAUCAGAGAUUAAUUGGACCAUAAAUUAAUUGGACCAUAAGAUUCCUAAACAAUGCACAAAAAGACAGAGACCAUCUCAGGGAGAAAAAGAAUAGGAGAAACAAGGGAAAGAAGAGAUCCAUCUCCUUUUUUUAUUUUCCGACCAUUCAUUCAUUUCCAUUAGGGCACUGCGUGUCACGCCCCGAGUCCACAGCAGAAGCCACGGGAGCGACACUGUAUAUGAUGAGUCCCGAAGAGAGUCUAUGUAUGAGACAAAAAGGAGACCCAUGAACCCUGUGACAAUCAUAAACGUGCUUGACCAGCAACAGGAGGUGGCAGAAACAAAGAUGAAACACACCACAAUCUUUUUUUUAGAGAGAUAGAUAGCACGCUACCCGCUUCGUUUAUUUCAUUUAGAAAUAAACUUAGUAAAAAAUAUGAAUCAAUUAGGAUUCGAACUUGGGUCUUGAAUAUCAAUCACCAAGUCUUUUGCCGCUUGCUCUAGGGACAAUCGGUAACACACCACAAUCUUAGUUUGUCUCUAUAUGCUUCAUUCCUUAGUAGGGGUUUUCUAAAAAAAUAGAAAAAAAAAUUGCCAGUAGGAAUAUUUUCUUAAUAUUUAUUUAUAUUAUUUUUGUGUAUAAGCAGUUGGAAGGAAUGAGUAUUUUUUUUCUUUUGUGAAAUUAUAAGCGCAAAUCAUAUUCUUGAUCUUUGAAAUGACGAUCUGAAUAACAAACACUGGGACCGACCGUCCCUAGCGCAAAUGGCAAAGGGCUUGGUGGUUGGUAUCCGAAGUCUCAAGUUCGAAUCCUAGUUGAUUUAUAUUUCUAGCUAAGUUUAUUUCUAAAUGAAAUAAACGAAACGAAUAGCAUGUUACCUAUUUCUCAAAAAUAAAAAAAAAAAUAAAAAAAAACAAAAAAAACAAACAAACCAACACUAGGCUAGACUAGUACUUGUUAGUUGUUAUAUAUAUUAAUUACAGUGAGAGCUCAAUUUCCUUUAACUUAAAUGAGAUGGAUAGGGAUGCGCACAAGUGGUGGAAAGUGAAACUUUGAAUUGAAUCAAAGUAUAUAUCUAGAAAUCUAAAAUAACAAUGCUUUAAAUUUGAACUUCAAGAAUCAAUCAUUAAGUUUUUUGUCACUUACGCUAAGAACGGUUAGCUAAUUUAUUUAAAAUAAUAGUUUUGAUUUUGUUCUUCACAUGAAGUAGUGGCUAAAAAUAGUGUUUGGGCUGAACAACUCUAGUUAAAAAAGUAAAAUAAAAAAACUAGGUGCAGUGUUUUCUUAAUUAGUAGUUGUUUUCAAAAUAAUUUAAAUUAAACUUAAGGUGAUUCUCUAUGUAUAUUAUCAUAAAUUAGUUAAUUUUAUUUUACAUAUAUUUUGUUUUUUUUAUUGUGGUCGUGCAAACUUUUCUGUAAAAUUUAAAAAAAAAACACAAUUUAAAUAUCUUUUUCUCAAACAAAAAAAAACACAAUUCAAAUCUCCGUUUUUGGGUCACUGUCCAUGUAACAUUUUCAAACAAUACUAUCUUUUUGAGAAAAAAGAUAGUACAUAAUAUCCCUUUCAUUUAAUUUUUUAAAAAAUAAACUUCGUUAGAAAUGUAAAAUAAUAAUGUUUCGAAUUUGAAAGCUCGAAUAUCAAUUAUUAAAUUCUUUGCAUUUUUGCUAAAAAAUAAGGACGGUUAGCUGAUUUAUUUAAAAUAAUAAUUUUGAUUUUGUUCGAUUUAUACAACAGGAAAAAAAUUCCAUUCACAUGAAGUAGUGGAUGUGAGUUGUGGCCGAGUAGUUUGGAGAUGGGGACUCUAGGGUGCACAACUGCACGCGGGUGUGUAUAUUAGACAAAGAGGGGAAAAAAGAAUUAAAGUUAUGAGAGAGAAAAUAAGAAGAGAAAAGUUAUCUAAAAAUAGUGUACGGUUGAAACAACUCUAGUUUAAAAAAUUAAAAAAUAAAAAUAUAAACUGGCAACGGAAUGGACUGAGUUCUGUCGAGUUGGAUAAUAUCUCUAUAUUUUGAGUACUCGAUUUGACGCUGCAAUUGUUUUUAAUUUUUUUAUUACUUUUCUUAUACCUUUCUUUUUAGGCUUUUUUUUUUUUUUUUCUCUUGAGGCCUCUGCUGUCUCAUUCUAUAUAGUUAAAUUUAUUAUCUGAAUUAAUGAAACAGAUAAUGUGCUACCUUUUUCUCAAAACAAAAUAAUAAAAUAAAAUAGGUAGGUGUAAUGUUUUCUUAAUUAAUAGUUAUUUUCAAAAUAAUUUAAAUUAAGGUGAUGAUUCUCUUUGUAUAUUAUCAUAAAUUAGUUAAUUCUAUUUUACUUAUAUUUUGGUUUUUUUUUUAUUGUGAUUGUGCAAACUUUUCCGUAAAAAAAAAUAAAAUAAAAUAAAUCUCUUUUUUCUCCCAAAAAAAACAAAACACACACAAUUCAAAUCUCUGUUUCUGGGUCACUGUCCAUGUAAUAUUUUCAAACAAAUACUACAUUAAAUCCCUUAAAAGAGUUUCGAAGUUUGGUCCACACUUUACAUCCUUUUUGAUUAGGAUAGCUUAAGAACCCGAUGAAGGCAACAAACAGCAUGGAGCAAAAGCAACUAAAAAACAAAACCCAAAUUCGAAAACAAAAAAAACCCAACAAAAAAAAGGAAAAAUAAUAAAAUCCAAUGGUACAGUAGAUGCUUCCUCCCACGUAAUAGACGCUCACAAAGCAACAAUUUCUCCUCUAUCACCUUCCCCACCUUCUCCCUUACUCUUUCCCCAUCUCUUUUUUUAUUUUUUAUUUUUCCUUUUGACUCACAUACGUCCAACGUUCACACGAAUCACACAAACCUAAAACCUAAAAGGUAAUAAAUAAAUAAAUAAAUAAAAGUAUGGUGAGCUCUCAACUAAAACCAUUUUAAAAUAGAACCUUUUUAAGUUUAGUUUUCACUAAAUUUGAGGAAAAUAUUAGCUUUGUUAGACAUGUCUUCAAAUUUGAUUAUCGGUUUCAGUUUUGUCCUUCUGAUUCGUCGAGCGACAGUUUCGUGAUGCAAUAAAUUUUAAAAGAUAAUUUGUGAAAGAAAAAAAUAAAAGUCUGUAGUGGAUUGAGGAGAGAGCCGAUAGGCGAUACUGAAGAAACCCGUUAAGAAUUUUCUUUCUUCUUUUUACCCUAGAGGCGAAAUAUCAUAUUAUACUUCAUAAUAUGUUAAACCUCUAUCCUGAAUUAUUGGAGGCGACAUAUAAUAAAUUUGCUACCGUGCGUUGUUGGGUCAAUUUCACUUUACAAUACUUACACGAGCAAUUUCAUGUCAGGUUUAAGGGGCAAUUUUAUAAUAACCUGUAGUUGAGGGGUCUGCUGGUAGUUUCACAAACUAAUUAUAAUAAAAUGAAAUUAAAGCCAAUAUAUUUAUUUACCCGAUCCACUGAGAUUCGCUGACCGACAGCGUGCCCACCCCGCGCCGUCUUCUUCCCUUUCCCCCCACUUUGCUCUGUCCCUCGACCAAUUUAGGGAGAAAAUUAUUUAUGUAACACAAAAGUAGAGUAAAAAUAUUAUUUUGUAUUAAUUGUCUCUGGUUUUAGUCUCUUUUUUAUAUUUCUAAUAACAAGUUCUUUUUUUUCUGAUAUCUCAGUAGUAGGACACUUAGUGCGAAAGAAUAUAUAAAAGUGUGAAGUGUUGGUUAAAGUUUUUGAGUCUUAAAAAAUAAGAAUUUUUACAAUCAGUUGUACCGAAAAUUUGACAAAUUUUUAAUUUAUUUUUACAAAAAAUGAAUGGAAAGGAGAAAUUACCCCAAACUUGGUUCAUUCAUUGGGUUAGUGAAACAGGUGAGGAAAACAAAAUUACUUCACUGCAAGGGCAAUAUCUUUGAAAUCAAAACAUGAUAAAACAACAGCGCGCGCGCGCCCCGCAGAAAGCAAAAAAAUAAUCAAGAAGGCAAUAAAUAUUACACUUUACAGUUUGGCCAAAUAGAAAGGAUAACUUCUAACAAGAUGAAGCGGACGAGGACGUGGCCGAGGCAGGCCGAACGUCCUUAAGAAGGCCCACCACCUGCUGCAUGGUGGGCCGCUUCUCCGGCGACUGGGCCGUGCAGAGAUAUCCGACUCGCAAGCACUCUACCAUCUCCUUCUCCGUCUCCGGGCUCACUCCGUCGGUCGUCAAUCUGGGGUCCACCACCUCCAACCCCCGCCCUUCUCUCACCAUUCCCCGGGCCGGGCCCAACGAACACUCGUCCCAUCCGGCCCGGCCCGUUAAGAGCUCCAUGACCACUACUCCGAAGCUGUACACGUCGUCCUCCGGAGUUGCCCCACUCGAUUUCCCAAAAUCGGCGAUCCGGGGCUCCAGAUCCUCGGCGAGGAGGACGUUGGACGGGACCACGUGGCCGUGGACCACGGCGCGGCCCGACCCGGCCCACCCCUGGUGCAGGAAAGCUAAGCCACGUGCUACGCCCAGCGCUAUCCGGUGACGCGUGGGCCAAUCGCCGAGCGUGGCCCUUCGCUCGUCGCCGAGCUCCCACGUGUCGCCGCUCCAGUCCUCCACGUCGGGCCUCCCCGGCGGGAGCUCGUGUAGCCAUUGGUGGAGGUCUCCUCUCUCCAUGUACUCGUAUAACAAUAACUUGUUCGGCCCUAUUGCGAAUUAAGAAAGAAGAUAAGUAAAUAUGAGAUUUAUAUUAUUUAUAAUUCUAGUUAGUUGAAUUAGGAAUUUCAUUAAAUUCACAGUGAUAUUCUAUGAAAUUGAACAGCUUGGGCUGUUUCUUUAAGCGAAGGAGCUAAAGAUUACGUACGUCAAUCAAAAAUAUGAAAUUUAGAACAAUUCGUUAAGUAGCAUCGCACGCACUAAUUAAAGUUAGAUUGUAAUGGCCGAGUACGAUAAAAGAUGCCAUGCUAAGUUAAUGUUGUUACCCGAAAUGCAGUAGCCAAGGAGGGGAAGGAGAUUGGGGUGGCGGAGCCGGGCAAGUUCUCGGAAGGCGGCGGCUGCGGCGGCGGCAUCGUUUUCCGGCUCAGCCCAAUCCGCCUCCGCCGCCCACCGCCCCUCGGUCUCCGCCUCUUUCCGUUCAGCCUCCUCCACGUCCUUCCUCUCCUUUCCCUUUCCCUUCUUGCUACGCCUCACUGCGCAUAACAUGCAAAACAAUAAUAUUCCUACCAACGCAACAAAACCCAACCCGAUUAUCAAACUCAGUCUCGCACUCCGCUUCCGAAUCGUCUUCCUUUGCGCGUUCCUUAUUACUGAAGAAGAAGGAGAAGAAGCGGCCGAAUCGACGAACUUAAUAUUAAUCCCGGCUUUUAUAAAAGCCGACCUUCCGAACUUCUUCAGCAGCAUAUCGUCGACCCGCCCGGAGAAGUUGUUGUGCGACACGUUCAAGAACCGAAGCCCGGAGAGCGGCGGCAAAUCAUCGGGGAGCACUCCGACAAUCGAAUUACGCGACAGGUCCAGGUACUCCAACCGGGCGAGCCGCGAGAGUCCCGACACGGCGGUGAAUCGGUUGGCGGAGACGUCGAGGGAAAGAAUUAUCUUAGACUGAGCUGCACCGAAGCGGAGGGCGCCGCCGAGGCGGUUGGACGAGAGGUUGACGUGCGCGAGGGCGGGGUGGGACCAGAAGCGGCCGGGGAUGGAGCCCUGGAGGGCGUUGCCGGAGAGGUCGAGGGAUCGGAGGGCGGAGAGGUUUCGGAGGACCAUCCAUGAGACGCUGCCGGUGAGGUUUUCCGAAGGGAGGAGUACAGACUGGAUUGGAUCGCAACGGGACGGGGCGGGGAUGGGGGGACAGAAGUUGGAGACGGAGGCGAAGGCGAGGGAGAGGACGCGGAGGUCGGAUUGGUAGGGACACGAGGAGAAGGAGGAGGAGUGGGAGAGAGAGAUGAGGGAGAGAAGGGUGAGGAGGAGAGGGAGAGGUUUUGAAUGCAUUUUGUGUUUCAGAAUUUUUGUAAAAAUGCUGCAGGGCGGGGGGAGAGGCAUUAAAGAGCGAAGAAGAUUGAGAGGGGGGGGGGUGGUGGGGGUGUGGACAGAUAUACAGAAUAGGCAGAGGAGACUGUGGCAAUCUGAGCAUGGAGGGUUGUUUUCGUUGGCCUGACGUGACACAGGUUAACUGACGGCGUUAGCGCUAUAGUUGGAGUAGGUUAUAUCUAGGGAUUUUUAAUAUUGGAAGCUAAAAACAUAUAUGGAUAUUGUUUAAAUUUAUCAUUCCAUCUUUCAAUUUAUUUAAUUUAAAUAAUAAAUCAUAUUUCAACUUUAAAUUUUAAUUUUAAAUUAAUUUUUUAUUUUAAUAAUUUUAUAUUUGUGAAAAAAUAUAAAGUAUACUAACUAAACUUAUAUAAAAAUAAACUGUGCAUUUAAAUUUUGAAGUCAAAGUUAUCGUUGACUCUGUGCAUUUAAAUUUUGAAGUCAAAGCUAUCGUUAACCGGCUAAACUUAAAUAAACUGAAAGAUUUGAUAGAAAAAUUAAAAUUUUAAAAUACUGGAAUAGUUAAUUCAAAAUAUAUAUUCUAUAGUUUUGGUAAGUUCGAUGCGUCUUUACCAUAUAUUUGAGUUAAUAUCGUCUGAAUGUUCGAGCAAAAAUAUACGAAAUAUGAUUAAAUAUAAUAUAUACAUUUCGACAAUAAUAAAUAUUAUUUUAAUAAUGUUAAUUUAUAUUAUCUUACAAUUUAUUUUUAAAUUAUUUCUGAGCUCUUACUUUGCUCUUUUUAUGCUGUAAUUUAUUGUAUUAUUACAGAAUUUGAACUUUCAAAAGCUUGCUGGUCAUAAUAUUUUAUUUUUAUUGCUAUUCCAAUUCUAACAAUAAUAUUCUAAUCAAAAUUCACAAAUUUUGGCAGGAGUGUACAAAUAAAGAAGAAAAUCUUAGAUUUUCAUAUCUGCGAGCAAUAAUUAAAGGUCGACAAUGAGACAAAUAUAGGAACAUUUUUAAAAAUACAGGCAUUUUGCUGCAACAGUUACAAGUUUAGAGAUCAAAGUUAAUGUUUGCAUAAUAGUUCGUCAUAUGUUAUUACCUGUUUAAUUUAUUUGUUUAUAAAUAAAUUUAACUGAAAAUAUGAAGCAACUAACCUUCAAACUUGGGAUCUCGGAUACCAACCAUUAAGUCUUUUGCCUCAUUUGUAGAAAUAGUUUUUUUUUUGUUUUGAGAGAGAGAUAGGUAGCAUACUAUCCGUUUCGUUUUAUUUCAUUUAAAAAUAAACUUAGCUAGAAAUAUGAAUCAACUAGGAUUCGAACUUGAGAUCUCAGAUACCAACCACUAAAUUUUUUGUCACUUGCGCUAGGAACGGUCAGUCAUUUACAGAAAUAGUUGAUGUCAACUUUUCGACGUUUCGUUGGGUUUAUGGGCCCAUUAACUACUGCUUUAACUAUUGAGUAGCCCAAAUUAGCUUGCUUUGGGGUUUUUAUGACUAGGUAUUUACACUACUUGCUCUGUUGGCUAAGUUUUGGAGAAGCAAUUGGAUGGAGCUUCAUUUAAACCAUAAAUGUUCACCAAAUUUUAUCAGCAAGUAGGCCCCAUCUUAUUAAAUUUAGCGCAAUAUAAAAAAGAGACUUACUACCUGCUCCAUUUGCAAAUUAAUCUAAACCUGUUGUGCCCAACAUGCCCAAGUAACCUUCUAGUGUUCUCAAGUUGAAACAUUAUUCUUUUUGUUCCUUUAGGACACUUUAGGUUCUUUUUUAAAAUAAAGCGAGUUUAUAGGGUUCUCUCCAUGCUCAAAUAAAUCAAAAUUUGUGAUACAUGUAUGACACAGAUGAAUUGCCAUGCACUAUUAAUAAACUAGACUAGAUUUUGAAUAUUUCAUUCUGAUCCUGCAUUGCAUUUUGAAUUUAAGUUAAUUAUAUAAAUUAUACUAAAUUGGAAAAAUAAAAUAAAAUAAUGGUUAGGAAAGUUAUUUUGUAGAGUAAUUUUUUUAGCGGUGAAACUAAACAUUAGGCCAAAUUUUGUGACACGUACGUACCAUCUCCCGCUCGGGAGUUAGGCCCGUUGACCCCCGCAGGGACCGUUUGUGGUCAACGCCGUCAACUCCUCCAUUCCACGCUUGUUUCACGUGGGCAACUCAGGAACUUCUCGCACCACCACAUGAGAGCAUCUAAUCCAAAUUCGUGCGUAUAAUUAGGCAAGUCAAACUAUUUUAGUUGCUUUAUAUAUAUAUAUACACAUACACAUACCGGGCAGGUUAAAGAAAAAAGAUUAGAGUGUGAAAAUGUGAAUUUUAUGUGUUCAAGUUCAACUUGUUAUAUGAAUAAAAUAGUACAGUAAGAAAAAAAUUAUUACUUUCAUAUUUAAUAUCAAGUUGUGCAUAUUGUCACGAGUAGAUUACAAUCUAUUUUCUAUGAUUUCGUCAAAAAACGGAGAGACGGUAUUUCUUUAUGCUUUCAUCCCAAAUGUAUUUUUGUCCAAUAGCUUUAGAUGGGCGUCAAUACUAAAUAGGCCUCCGAGUACAGUUUUGGGCUGUUCCUGGACCGCUAAUUGGAUGUUUGCGUUUGAUCGGGUCGGAUACAAAAAUUGGGCCUGGCUACUAAUCGAACAAAAAUGAACCCAACACAGAUGUACAUAUCUUGGGAGGUUACAUUUGAAACAUCCUAAGCAAGGGCGGAAAAAAAAAAAAAAAAAAAAAAAAAAAAAAAAAAAAAAAAGGAAAAAUUUAAAAAAAAAAAAAAAAAAAAAAAAACACUAAACUACAACAUUUUAAAAACCGGUUCGAACUGGUCCGAUUGCAAAUCAGUAGUAUAGAUGAUCUGCAUUGACCCUAAAAAACCGGGUUGAGCCACUCGAACCGGUUGAUUUUUAAUCGAAUCUUUGAACCGCGCUUCAGUAAAACCAAAUGUGCCGAAGCCCUUGACUUGUAAUUUAGGAGCUUAAAAUAGCUAGGAUUUUCUUACGUUGGUAUUAAUAUUAGUUUAGUAAUAUUUUCAAGCUUCAACCUAAAUAUCAAUAAGUUAAUAGUGCAAAUACAACAAUCUAAGAUUAUAUUAAUCCUUUUUUAUAAUGUUUACAAAUUAAAGUUAAUAAUUAAUUAUUUAUGAUAUUGUGUUGAUGUGAUUGGUCUGAUAGGUCUAACCACUAAUUGAAUCAGUGAUUCUUAAGUCAGUAAUUUUUUCUGUUCGUGGUUGUAACUGAUUUUUUAAAAUAUUGAUUAAUUAGACAGAAAUAGAAGAUUUCUGUAUUACGCUAAACGGUAAAUACUUCGGUAUCUAAACUCUGAUAUGUAUUGCAUUUUAGUCCUAGCAACUCAAAAAAUCUUUUUUUUUAACAAAAAAAUUCAGCUCAUAGACUAUAAUUUUGAAGUGUUGCGCUAAGGCGCAAUCGGCGCAUGUUAUGCACUAUUCAAUAUAGCUAAACUAAAAAAAAUAGACACAUUGGAUCCACCAUGAUUUUGGACUCUGAGCUAAUUAAAUAUAAUGAUCACAUUUAAAAGCAACAUUGUUGUAGGCAUAUUUUUAUUGAGAAAAAAGGGCAUGAUGUAAGCUUAAUGAGGAAUAAAUAAACUUAUGUUUGGUCCAUAUUGGAACAUCUCCAUUAUCGUUGUUUAAGUUAUUUUUUUUAUUUUAGUAAACAUGAACCCUUCGUUGAGAUCUCACAAUUGCUUUCAAAACCUAAUAAGAAACGAAAUAAAACUUUAAAUUGUCGAAAUCUUAUUUUUCGAGACUCAAGGAUCACUUCAAUUUUUUUUCUUUUUCUUUUUUUUUUUUUUUGAGAAAUAGGUAGCACGCUACCCGCUUCGUUUUAUUUCAUUUAGAAAUAAUAAACUUAACUGGAAAUUUGAAUCAACUAGGAUUCGAACUUGGGUCUCGAAUACCAAUCACCAAACUCUUUGCCACUUGCUCUAGGGACGGUCGGUAUCACUUUAAUAUUGUCGUUACAACUAAAUGCCUGAUCGUUGCUUCUCAGACUAAAACAUCAAACCCAAAGAGUGAGGCCUAUAAUUGUAGAACAAACAUUUUGGUUUUCCCACCAAAAUGUAUAUUAAUUAGUUUGGGGUCGUUGUAUUUUGUUUCUUUUCAUGUUUAAAGAUGUUCGUAUGUCACGCACACAGAUCGCUAAUUUGCGAUUUGGGCUGUGGAUCAGAUCUUAAUUUGUUGGAGUAGCUCAACGCGAACUGGGCCCGUUUCCAUUUGUAGUACUUCAAAAAGAUUAGUGAUUGAUUUUUGAGGAUUUGAUAUAUUUACAAUUACAAUUACCAUUCAAGGACGUGCGAUGAAUAAGGAUGAGGUUUGAAAAAGAAGAAAAGAAAAAAAAGAAACAAAAGGAUUUGAAUCGGAUAUUUGUUUUAUUAUUCCUUUUUUUAAUCUUAAUAUGUUAUUAGUGUUAAUUAUGGAUUUUCUUAAUCAUCUUCACCUAUCGUGGGUUUCAACUAAUCAAUUUUUUUUCAUAUUUUCACAUGGUACAUUUUUAAUAUUAUUUAUGAAGUAUAAUACAUUUUUUUCUUCCCAAUCAUCUCUAGAGCAAAUGGCAAAGGGCUUGGUGGUUGCUACCUGAGACUCAAGUUCAAAACCUAGUUGAUUUAUAUUUUUAGAUAAGUUUAUUUCUAAAUGAAAUAGACGAAGCGGGUAGCAUACCUAUCUCUCUAAAAAAAAAAAAAAACCUUUUUUUGUUUUUUGAAGCUAAAUAUUGUACUAGUGCAUGACAACAUUAAUGUAUGCGAGUAAAUAACGUGCUAGGCUAAAUAUUUAAAGAGAUUAAAAAAAAAAACCUUUAACCGUAAAGAAAUAAAAGAUUACAAGUUUAAUUCAUGCUGUUUUAAAAGGUGAUACGACAAGAGAGAGAGAGAGAACUAAUUUAAUAAUAAAUAGAAGAUUGUAUACCUUAAGUAAAAUCAUAAAAAAAAAAGGAGAAAAGAAUAUAGAAUGCAGGGGAUGACUUAUGUAAAAAUGUUCCCCAUAAUCAUAAAUUAAAGUAGGAAAUCGUCAUCAUCUGUGACAUUAAUUGUUUUUAGAAUUUCAGACGUGGAUCCGAUGUGUGAGUGAAAAGUAUAGAAAUAUUAAUUGUGUGGAUAUAUUAAUUUUAUCAAUGACUAUUUCUUUUUUUAUUUUUUGUUGGUCGUAAGCAAAACAACUAGGUAAUUGUUUUUUCUUGCUUAAAUAAACAUAGGGUGCAGUAAAUUUUACCCUUUCAAAAGAAAUGUCUUUUAAAUUCAUAGGUGAUCGAAGCACAUUCAAGAAAAAAAUCGAUCAUUACGAUAGUUAGAUCUCAUCUACUACGUACUUACGUAUAGUUGAAUAAUGUAUGCGAGGUAUAAUUGUGAAAAAUAGAGUCUAUUCAUGCAUGUUAUUCACAUGCAAACAUUCAUUGAUCAUGUGUAAAUCUUAUUACAGAAAAAACAUAGUCUCCAUAAUUUCUAUUGAAGUUAAUGAUCUGAAAAAUAUCUCGAGAAGCAUGGAACCUAUAUUACUUAGUGAAAACUAAACAUUUCCGAAUGGUAAUUAGUUAGAUGUAAUAAGAUUAUGCUCUAUGAUGCAUCAGGAGCUUUUCUAAUCGGUCCCUAACGAGGUUUCGUAUAGUACCGAAUAGAGUUAUAAACUUAUAGGACGAGUUUUAAGUUUACAUUUUCAAACUAAUUAAUCUGAAAAAUCUCAGAUGCUCGGAGAAAAUGAAUCAGUGCCAAAUCACUGUGGUUCCCAAGUAUAUUUUAAAAUUUUUUAAAAAAUAAAUCAAUGGAUUGGCAUGAAUCGUUUCAUCAUUCCAUGAAUGCUGAAUAGAACAAAAAUCUAGUAUAUAUAGAUGCAAUUCAAACCUGUAGAUCCAAACACUUGUAAAUUUAGAUGUAGAUCUUUUGUGAAACCUUCAUUGAAUAUCAUAUGUAUUUAUUUUGUCCUUAUUAAAUGAUAGGACUUCUUUUGCUUGUAUUUUGAUUCGCAGCAUCAACAUCUUGUCCUUUUACAUGAUUAGAUAAUUACUAAGCGAUUUUUUUUUUAUUAUUUCUCUUUUUUAACUUGUUGGCGCGCUUUCAUUAAUAGACAUAGAUACUUGCAUUUGUUAGUGCAAAAAGUAUGAUUUUCAAAGCAUAAAUAUGUCAUAAGUGUGUGCUUUAUUAUGCCUUGAAGCUAAGAUACCACGGAUUAUUUAUUAAAUUUUCCCAGCUGAAGCGUAAACUUUGCUAUACGAAACUAAAGAAAAAAAAAUAUUUAUUUGUGAGUUGCCACCAAAGCUGAUUUUAAUUUAUUUUUUUCUUUAAAUAUUAGCAACUUCUUAGAUUAAAUGGUGCCCCCACAAAAGAAAUCAGGUAAUUCUUUCCAUAGCCAAAUUUAAAAUUAAAUUAAAUUGUAAAUCCUUUCCAAAACAUCUCCAUGAGAAAUUAAUUUAUAAGUCCCUGAUCCAUUCCUAGCAUUUUUCAUAGUACUAUUCUAUGUUAUUGUUAAAUAUAUAAUAGUACAAAGAUCCUUCUUUAGUAGGUACCUUAAAUUUUUAGUGUAAUUUAUUAUUUCAUAUAGUAGUAGUACUAAAUAAGACAUUUUGAGUUCAAAUAUCACUUGUCCGAAUAAAUAAAUACUAUACGAUAAAUGUUAUAUGCUUAAUGAGAUUUGAAUUUAAGAGUAUUUUCACCGGUAAACUUGAGAUUUUGAAUUAUAAAGCAUAUUUUAAGGUUUCACCCAUAAUUUUUUAUUAUUGGACAAAGUAAUUAAAGAUUAAUAUAAAAACGAAUGCAGCCCCGUAAUUUCAAACUAUGCCUAGGCAACUCCACGCUCCCAAUCAAACAAAAAUUUGGUGGGGAUGGAAUUCCAUAACGAUUCUGCAUAAUCAAUCAUUACAUAGAACAAACAAGUCUUAAAAAUAUAUUAACAACAAAAAUAAUAUUCUUACGAUUGGACUGUACCUACUAAAUUAUUUUUUCCAAAAAAAUUUAUUAAAUUGUUGCGCUAAUCAUUUAUUCCAAAACUGGAUACAGAUAUAGUACUCACAAGUUUUAAUUAUGACACAGUCCAACCAAUCUCUACCCACUUUAAACAUUACUCGUUCCAAUCCAACUUGUGGCAUUUCGAACAUGACUCGAGUGUACAGAUAUAACACCCACGAAUUUUAAUUGUGAUUCAGUCCAACUAAUCUCUAGCUACUUUAAAUAUGACUCAAUCAAAUCUAAUCUUUCGUCAUUUCGAACAUGACUCCAAUCUCAUCCAAUGUGAUCUCCUACUAUUACUACAGGAUAGAAUAUUGGCUAUUUAAGUCAACAUAACCU